rnacentral:lncRNA from 1 species
CGGUCUACAAGCCCCCUGUUGAGAAGCCACCUGUGUAUAAGCCACCGGUAGAAAAACCUCCAGUUUACAAACCACCGGUAGAGAAACCACCAGUGUACAAGCCACCAGUUGAGAAGCCCCCCGUCUACAAACCUCCUGUAGAGAAGCCUCCUGUUUACAAGCCACCAGUAGAGAAACCACCAGUGUACAAGCCACCAGUUGAAAAGCCUCCGGUCUACAAACCACCUGUAGAGAAGCCACCUGUUUACAAGCCACCUGUAGAGAAACCACCAGUGUACAAGCCACCAGUUGAGAAGCCUCCGGUCUACAAACCACCUGUAGAGAAGCCACCUGUUUAUAAGCCACCUGUAGAGAAACCACCAGUGUACAAGCCACCAGUUGAGAAGCCCCCGGUCUACAAACCCCCUGUAGAGAAGCCUCCUGUCUACAAGCCACCAGUAGAGAAACCGCCAGUGUACAAGCCACCAGUUGAGAAACCCCCGGUCUACAAACCCCCUGUUGAGAAGCCUCCUAUCUACAAGCCACCAGUAGAGAAACCACCAGUGUACAAGCCACCUGUUGAGAAGCCUCCAGUUUAUAAGCCACCAGUUGAGAAGCCACCUGUGUACAAGCCCCCAGUCGAGAAACCCCCGGUCUACAAACCUCCUGUAGAGAAGCCUCCAGUUUACAAGCCACCGGUGUACAAACCUCCAGUUUACAAGCCACCAGUAGAGAAGCCACCUGUGUACAAGCCUCCGGUCUACAAACCCCCAGUUGAGAAACCUCCAGUUUACAAGCCACCGGUUUACAAGCCUCCAGUCGAGAAGCCACCAGUUUACGGACCACCUCACCACCCAUAGUACCCUCCCGUAGUUGGCACUACUCGUUUUUAAAGCAUGCUUUUAAGUAAAUAAGAGAUAUAUAAACUUUCCAAAGCAAGGAUCAUAUAUUCUUGGAAAUCUUCAAUUCAAUCUUAUGUUUACAAAUGCUAUUGCCAAGACAAGAGUGUGAAAGAAAAUGGUGCCAUUUGUACUUCAAAUUAUGAAUAAGAACGUUAUGAUUUAGUACUUCUUAUUUUGUGUUUGUUGACUAAAUUUGACAGAGUAUACUUUACUUGUUCCCUAUCAUACCAGUAAGGUGCAUGAAAGUUCAGUCUUGAACGGUGGAAAUAAAUAAUAAUUAAUUAAUGUUUGAAUCUCGAAUUUACUAAAUUAACGAACUUGUAAUUUCAUUGGAAUAUACUUGACUCAGUGGUAGCUUUAGUUUCAACUUGGAAAAUGUCCGUGAUAUGACAAUUUUUCCAAAACAAGUUUAGGUUAAGAUUUUUAUUUUUUAUUUUUGACAUAAUAUACGUUAAGAUUCUUGUGUACUAAUAGAAACUGAAAAAUCAUUUUGGUGCUUAAAGUUUAAUGAGUUGGACAAAUUAUUCACUCAAAUAUGGAAAUGAUAAUGUAGUCUCUUCAAUUAUAGAAUGCCAUUUAAUUUAGUUACCUUUUCAAAAUUAGCAUCACAAUUCGCAAGGUUUUAUAUUUGUGUUGAUGCAUCAGUUAAGAUAAGGAUCACGAAAAUUAGGUUUUUGACUUGGUUUUGAUUAGGGGUGUUUGCGGUGCGUUUUGGUUCGGUUUUGAGCAUAAAAGUCAUCUAAACCUCAAGAUAAAAAAGCAUGCGGUUUGGUUUGAUUCAGUUGAUUUUUAUAUAGUCAUCCAAACAAAACCAAACCAAACCAAUGCGGUUUGGAUUGGUUCGGUUUGUACGGUUUAUCGCGAGAUGAAAAAAUAUUACAUUAACUCUAAUAUUGCCAACUUGUUACAAAAUAAACAUAGGACAUUUUAUUUUGUUGUUUAUAUGAUAAAAUAUUAGGUAAAACUUAUAUCAAAAUAGGUAAAAUUAAGAAGAAACAUAAGCAUGAAACAAAUUAUUGAGAAGUAAAAGAAACAAAUUCAUCACUGAAAAUGAAUUGAAAGAGAUGGAAAGGAAUUAGAAUCGAACCAGAUGGUGCAACAAUGGAAAAAUCUAAUCAAAUGAGAUUAUUCUUGAGCUAUGUAAUUGGGCUAGUACAUGUUUAAGUAAUAUUCAUUAUUCUUGCGGUUUGGUUUGGUACUUGAGAUGCAAACCGCAAACCAAACCGAACCGCGCGGUUCAGUGUAAAAGUCAUCCGAGUUCAUUCGAACCAAGUGCAGUUUUUUGCGGUUUCGGUUUGGAUUGGUUUGGUUUGCGGUUUUUCUAUUGGGUUCGUUCGGUUUUGAACACCCCUAGUUUUGAUCGAUGUUUCCUGAAGAUAUGUUUUGGUAAUUGAACUAAAUAAACUGUCUUACAUUCUUCAAUUAAUGAGAUUAAAUUUCCUUUUUACAAAUAUCAAUGAUUAAUGUCAAGGACUAAAAUGAUGAUUAGUGUCGCGCCAUUUUUCGGAGGUCAAGGCCAUUUGAUUAGCUUUUGACUCACUUUUUAUCUCACGACUGAACAAAAAAUUUUUUAAAGGGGAAAAAGUUUCAAACCACCCAUUUUGAAAAGAUUUAGGGUUCAUGGGUUGGUUAUAUUUAGGGAAGGUAUUAGCACCCUAAAUAUUCGUAGUACUCUAUGAGUACCUCUUGAUUUUAUUUAACUUUUUGUGCUUAAACUUGCUUGCUUUUGAAGAGAUGAAAAUAGAAUUGAAAGAUGAGUUGAAACGAAAAAGAAAAUUGAUUUUAAUUGAAAAGAAAAAAGAAAAUUGUUUUUUAGUUGAUUUGGAAGGACAAGGUCCUCUGCCUACGUACCCGUGAGGGAUCAAAACCUCGUAGUUCGGGGUAGAAAUUGACGUUUGAUUGGUUUUAUAUUUUUUAUUAGUUUUUGAAAAAAGGUUUGAAAUAAAAAGCCAAGUGGCAAAUGAGAAUUGAUUUGUGUUUUUUGGAUUGAAGGAAAUAGACUUGAAGUAGAAUUAAAAUUGAUUUGAGAUUUGAUUAAGAAAGAAAAUAGAAAUAGCGAUCACUUCAUUGAAAGUCAAGGUUUGUUAUAAAAAUAUUUUUUUGUGAUUUUUUGAUAUUUGGAUGUUUUUGCCGUUUUUGAAUAAUGAAUGAAAAUUAAACUAACAGAGCAAUGAAAAUAAAAGUGCGUGGGCGUGAAGAAAAGAUUUUGGUUUAUGUUAGUUCGACAAUAUAAAUAGUAUUUAAUAUAUGUUGUGUUCACUUUGGAUAUUAUCGGACAAAAUUUUGACAAUAAUAAAAAUAAUAAUAGUAAAAUAGAAUAAAAAAUAGAAAGACUAAAGUGAAUCAAAAUGAGAUAAAAAGAUAAAUAUUUAAAACGGAUUUAAAGUUAAUAAAAGAUGGAAACUAAAAUUAAAUGAAAUUUGAAAAUUGAGAGAAGAGGGUCCGACUUGGAACCAAAUAUGAGGUAUUUUAAAAUACCUUCCUAUCGAAAUUUUGUUCGAAAGGCUGAGACCGGUCGGAGUUAAAUGACACGUGUCAGUGCUGCCUUAGGUCAAAAAUUGGGGUAUGACAAUUAGCUCAAUAAUUAAUUAUUGUGAUUUCUUCAUUUUAUAUUUAUAUUUAAGAAUAAAAAAAAAAAAAUGACGAUAUCAACUUUGACACAUUACAUAUUCAAUCAAUGUUGACUUGACCAUCAAUGCUACAUAUCCGGAUGUAAGAGUAGUUCGACGAGUUUAUUUUUGUCACUUUUGUUGAUAUUUUGUUGGUUUAUGCUAUUAACUUGCAUCUAGUAAACUUGUUCAUAGCUUCAUCAUUUUCAGUUUUAGUGACAUGAUAUUUGUGUUGUAUUCAAUGUGAUUUACCGCGCGAUAUGAAUAAUAUAUAUUUUUAGUCAAAAUUAAUCAUGUCGGACCUGAGAUCUUUGGUUUGAUGGCGUUGAACGACCUUUGAGUAAGACAAUGUUAAACCAAAAUGAGUUUUAUACAAUGCCUCUGAAGUUUUGAUAAUAACAAAGUAUAAAAAGAACAAUUGAAUAUGCCAAUGUUGUUCAAGUAUGCUCGACCAUAUAUUAAAAUUCAAAGUAUUAAAUCAAGUUUUGAUUCUGAAAGAACAAGAUUAUGAACAUAUACAAGAGCAUCUGCAACUUAUGAGAAGCUGGAAAUUUGGAUCAGACUCUGAAUAAGUAAGACUGUGAAAGUCGGGAGUGUAACACCCUGAACCCCACAUACUAUUUUUAAAAGUAAUAAUUCAACAUUUAAAUAAACAUAUCAAGAUGUUACUCUUCAUUUUCAACACAUAACAAGUCUCCAUCUUAAAAUAUCAACUCACAGCGGAAAUAAGUCUCAACAACACAAAUGUCAUACAUCAUAUCUCAGAAUAAGUACAUCAUCAAAAUAAACUCAAGGUUCCUCAAACAUAAUAUGAUAACAUAAAUAAAAUCCCAACAUCCUAAUCAGAGAACCACUAGACAAGACUCCAAAAUCAAAGCGGUAAAAGAUGAGUAGGCUGCAAGCCGUCCUCGGAAACUCAUGGUAACUUUGCGUCCUCAACCUGCAAGUCUCCACCACAAGGGCGUAGGCGACCAUUUGCCAAACGUAGGGUAAGAUAUAAAUUUAACAUAGAGGAAAUAUGAACACAUAUAUAGUAUUAGGAUCGCAACAUCAUAUACAAGUAUUCAUCUUAAGCAAUACCAUAUUAACAUGCAUUCUCAUUGAUUGGUAAAAUAUACACAACAAAUCUCAAAUCAUCAUCACAAGAAUAUAAAAAAGUAAACACAUCAUUGAUUAAUCAUCCAAUGGAAUACAUAGGAUUCACACAUUAUCACUUUCAUUAAAUCACACAUUUUCCAUAAAAUACACAUAGUCAUGUAUGCAUCUUUCACAUAGAUUCACAUAGUCAAGUACUCAUCUUCUACAUAGACUCUCAUGUACGAAAUGUUCCUACUCGACUUUAUAUGCAUGUGGUACUGUUUUCGAUAUCAGAGGUAUUUUCUGAGUGAUUUCACCGUCACUUGGACUGACCAUGAAUGCAUGAACAUCUCAUCAUGACUCGACAAUGCAUAAUUCAUAUAACUCGACAAUUUACAUCAACAACAUCAUCACAUCGUAUAUUAAUUCAUCGUCGCUAUAUCAUCAUCAUCAUCAUCAUCAUCAUCAUCAUCAUUUUCAAUGUCAUUAUAUCAUCAUCAUCAUCAUCAUAUCAACAUCUAUAUAUAGUUCAAAUCAUCAUGUCAAACCAUAUCAAUAUGUAUCCACCUCGUCUCGCAAUCACAUUCACAGUCAUCAUCAUUAUAUAUUCAUAAGACAUUAUUCUACAUCAUCAAGUAUACUUCGUUAAUCAUCUAACAAGUUCACAGUCAUUUCAUGAUUCAAUUAUAAUUAAAUCACAAGUUUAUUUCUAACCAUUUCAAUUGCUAAGUUUACUUCCAUCAUAAGCUAGGUUAAUUACUCUUACACAUCAAAAUUAUACUUCUAUUAAUCAAGUUUAGAGGUUUGUGACAUAUUCACAUGCAUUGGAUACCUUAAAAUACCAAAAAUAUGAGUUUCCCACUAUAGGGAGGGUUGCACGGUAGUGCCAUCCAGGUGCACAGUCGUGCUCAUCAUGCAGGUAGGGAAAAGCUAUAAUUUUUGCGUUUUGCUCAGGAAGAACCCCUUUCAACACCAUUUUUCGAUCCAAUUCACACCAAACUAGACCCAAAUCAUAAAACUAAUGUUGUCUAAUCAAUUACACAUUAAUUUUACCUUAACUAACUUUAUUAUACUCAUUAUUAUCGUCAAUUAACAUGAACUUCAAUUGUUUUAAACUUAUCACUUCAAACCCAUUUUUAACAUGGUAAUUCAAACCCCAAACAUAGUAACAACCAAAUCAACAUCCCUUAUUCAAAAUGAACACAAAAAAAUUCAUCAAUUCACAUUAUAAACAUCAACUCAACAAUUAUCAACAAUUAUCAUGAAUUUCACCAAUUUCACAUAAAACUCAAAAACCCUAAUUCACCAUAAUCAAACAUUGAUUUUAACACAACUGUUAGGUUUGUAGUCUUGACAUGUUGGUGCGACAUCAUAGCGUGCCUUGUUCCGAUUUCUUGGAGAUUGUAUUUAAAUGUGAAAUCGCAGAAGAAAACUAAACGCAUCACAACUAAGAAAAGGUAGAAUAAAACCUUUCUACAAACAAAGCGCACAUCACUUGAAAGCAAAAUAAAUACGCAACUAAAUUUCAAAAAAGAUAUGCAUAAAUUAUCAUAGAAUAAGGCACCAAGUAACACGUUCUUACGUCUCAGAUUACCAAAUGGCUCUCCGAAAAAUAACCAGAGUAUGAUAAAAUUACAGAUUUCCCAAAACAAAAGGAACAUAAACUAAAAUACAAAGCACGAAAACAAAGAAGACACAACAACAUAACUCUUCAUCCACUAACUUUCCAUCAACCAAAAUCUUGGAGGGGUCCAGCUCGCUCACAUUAUCAUCAGGGUUAAAAUGCAGAACUUGCGCCCUAGUAUGCUCAAAGCCAUUGUCAAAAUAUAAGGCAAGAUCCCCCUUGCCAUCCUCAACGACGAAUUGAGCUUUGGCGAGAUCCCCUUACAACUAGACGACCUUCUUCUUCCAUGAAUCUCUCUCCAGCUCAACAACUUCUUUUUCAUCCUUCAUAUCUUUGGUCGUCUUCUCUGCAGUCUUCUUAUCCUCCAAGGCUUCCUUCAACCUACUUUCAAGACCCGUUGCUUUAUGCUUCCACUUCUCCACAUCUUCAUGAGCGUCUUUAUACUUUGCCUCUAAAGCACCAUGUUUCUUCUCCAUCACUUUUCCUAAUAAAAGGACCCGGAGCACUAAUAUUCUUGUAUCCAUUACUAGCUCGCCAAAUUUGCUUUUAACGCCAGCAUCAACGUCAACCUUAGACAGUGGCACUUUAUCCUCCAUGUAGCUACGAUAAACGCAUGACUUAAAAGUUGAAAACCCACUAACAUUACUAGAAUUUAAGUAAAAUCUCAUCAUCAAAUUAAACUCUCAUACCUACGAAAGUCGAAAUCUUUAUGCCAAAAAGAGUCAGCCACCUGAACAUUCAGAGAAAUGGUUCCCGCCACCCCGCUAGCAUAAUCAUCAUCCUUCCGACUGGCAACAAAUGUCCGCUUCGAGUCGCCCUUCCCAGUCCUCAUCUUCUUGCGUCUGGGCGAGUCAGUUUGCUCAGCCAGUACCCCAUUGCCUGCCGUCUCCAUGUUAUCAAUGUCCAUAUCCGAAUGUAACAUCCUAAAAUUUUAAGUCUAUAUUCAAAUGUAGUUAAAAAUAUAAAACAUAAUAGUGUAAUUAUUUUAAAAUACGCGAAGAUAAAAAUAAAGACAAAUAAAUAUGAUAUAAUUUCUUAUUAAUAAUUAAAUUUUAUUGGAUAAAAAGAAAAGGAGAAAGAAAGAAAAACAAAAAUAAAGGGAGUGCAAAUAACAAUUAUUUUUAGAAAAGAAAAAAAAAGUUAUAUACUUUCUCGAAUUUUUUUUCUGCCCUUGUUUAUGCAAAAAAAUACAAAAAUGCCCCACUUUUUCGAAAAAUUGCGUAAAUGCCCUACUUUUUCAGAAGCCCCUGGUACUACUCCACUUGGAGUUGCGGGGUACCCUAAAAAGUCACAAUUUUUUUGUCCUUAUUGUACGCCGCUACUUGGACUUGCGGGGUACUUUCCUACUUUUUUUUUUCCACUUUUUUUACUACCCCGCGAGUCUUAGCUUUUGCUUUUUUUUUUAAAAUUUUUUUUUUUUAAAUACCCCUCUACUUGGAGUAGAGUGGUAUAAUGAAGACAAAAAAAAUUCAACGUGUAAUAAUUACUCUCAAAUAAUAAAAAACUAAUUAAAAUUAUAUAACCAAUAAAAUACCAUCUACAAUGAUUAUAAAUGCCCGGCUGUCCCACACCUUCGUCUUCGACGAUCUCUUCCGCGAUUUACUUGAGGGUUAUGUUGGUCUUCGUCAUUUUUAUUUGUAGUUGAUUGUAUCUGACUACCAUAACCCAGUGACAACGACACAUCGUGUUCUCUUGUUGGCCAUCCCAUAUCCAGAAAUUGUUCAUUGGAGUUCAACGAAGUCGGAGAGAAGUGAGAUAAUAGGUUUGUUGGUGUUGGUGGGUGGUUGUAGUUUUGGUUGGUGUACAUUGGGUAUUGUGGGUUGUUGUAGGGGGGUAAUUGGUGUUGGACGGUCCAGCUUGGUUUGGGUCAUUAUAGGAGAAGUAGUUGUUGUUGGAUGUGUUAGCUUGGUUUGGUUCAUUGUAACCAUAAUUUGUCAUUGAAUUUUGUUGGUAAGUUGACUGAUAUUGGGGCUCAUAUGCAUUUCUCGGGGAGGUAUAUGGUGGUGGUUGGAUGAUAUUUUGUUGGGGGGUGUCGAGAAAUUCAUACAUUACAGAACCAUGAAUGUUUUGUGUUGUAUGUGGUUGGGAUUGAUGAUCUUGUAGUUGAGAAAAAAUGUCUUGAUCCCAAAAAUCAUCAUGAAUUGGUGUUUGGUUGUUGUGAAUUUCAGGUUCAUGUUCCGGCUCCGGCUCUUCUUGUUCGUCUGGAUCUGAAUCUGAUGGUUUUGUCUCAACUGAAAUCCUUAGACGUGGGUUGCAUGUGGUUGUCAACCACUCAAUAUACGCAUGAGUUGGGGUGAGUGAUCUUGGCCGCAUGUGAGGUAAAAUAUAACUCCGUCGGUUGUCCCAAUGUAAGCUCUCUUGUGGAAAGUGAAAACCAUUUGAUUGGUACCACAUCUUGAACCGUUUGUCCACUAUAUGGAAUUGUCGCAUGUCUCGUGGGGCCCCUGGUAUUUCCUGUGGCAAACCAAAUUCUAGCUUGACCCUAUCAGUUGGAUGCCAUUCAACUCUGUCAAAACAUAUAAGGUGAGUUGUUGCAGUCCACUCCCAAUAGUCUUCAGGAAAAUUGUGUGGAACAUUCUUGUAUGGUCUCCAUUUAAACUGGCAGAAGAGAGAAGUUGUAGUGUAAGGUUAACAAUUUUGAUAUAUAUAUAUAUAUAUAUAUAUAUAUAUAUAUAUAGUUCGAUAGGUGAAAUAUAUAUUCAUUAUUAAUUAAAUAACUCCUAAUUAAAUACUUGUAAAAAAACUCAUGAUUAAAUAAAUAAUUAAUUUAUAAUCGCGACAUUUUUUUAGUCCUAUAUUAAUUGCAUGUCCUACUUUUUUUUUUCUUACAAAAGAAAGUUAACAUAUAGCUUUUUAUUUCUUUACGACCAUGAAAGUGUUAAUAUGUAGCUUAAAUAACAAAAUAUCUUAAUUAUAUUUAAUUAGACCAUGAAAGUUAGUUUACCCUUGAAAUUACAUAAAAAAAAAAUUACCGUUCAAUAUAUAUAUAUAUAUAUAUAUAUAUAUAUAUAUAUAUAUAAACUCAUACAUUCAAAAAUCAAUUAUAAUAUUACUUGAUGUUCCAGUAUGUCAUCAAACUUUUUUCUGUAAGAUAUAGUGUCAUGGCUUGGAUUCUCGUAGUAUCUUGAACCUGCACCUGUCCAUCUAACAAAUGAUAUAAACAAAUUAGUAGCUAAUUUAUCAAAUAAUAAUAUUAAUAAGAAGCGAGAAUAUGCGAGGAAAUUAACAAAAAAAAUAAAUAAAUUAAUUGACCACGAUUACUUUAAUCCUAGCGGCUACUGGAGUGGGUUAUCAUUUCUCGGAGCGAUAUAACUCAACCGACAAUAUCCCCAAACUUGUAACAGAAAAUGACAUCCAGAUAGUGCUUUUAUAUUUGGGUGUGAUGCCUCACACAAGCCACGAUAAAGGUAAGCCAAAACUGCCGAUCCCCAACUAUAAUUUCUUGUUUCAUUAAAAUCCAUUAACAAAUACAACCAAGAGUUGUGCACAAAUAAUCCAGUUGUAUUAGGAAACAAGAACCCUCCAAAGAGGUAUAGUAGGUACCUCCUGUGUGUUGUAUUUUUACCUCCGGAGGAGAUUGUUCACUGAAGUUAUUAUCGACCAGAUUAUCCUUUAAUCACGACAACGAGAGAGUAAAACCAUCAGUUUUGUGUGCUGGAGGAGUUAUUCCCAACAAUUGAGCACAAUUAUUCCACAGAAGAUUUGGAGGAGCCGUAACAAUUGGUCCUCCAAAAGGUAAGCCGAGUAAAAUAUAUACGUCUUCAAACGUGAUUGUACAUUCACCCGUUCGAAAAUGAAAAGUAUGUGUUUCGGACCGCUAUCUUUCUACAAGAGUGGUUACGAUGUGCCUAUCAAUUUUGUAACGCCCUAUUUGAGAAACCUCAAAAAAUCCAGCUUGACGUAGAUAAUCUUCAAUAUAAGGACUUGGUAUGAUGUUUUGCCGUGUACGAGUGGUUAGAGGUGCACCCUCUGCAUCCUAACAAAAAAUAAUAAAGGAAUAAAAUUAAAACAUAAUCAAAAUAUAAAUUUAAAAAAACGUGAACAUAUUUAAAUUAAUAUUAAAAAAUAAAAAUGACAUUAACAAAUUAAUAUCUAUAUAUACCCAUCUUCUUAUAUGUUCUUCCAUGGAUCUAUGAUCAUUUUCCAACCACAAGUAUGCCAUUGCUUUAUAGAAUUUGAUUGAAAUAAUCUCUUAUGUGAGUGAGUAAGGAAAGGAUUGAGAUAAGUAGAAUAUGUGUAAAGAGUAAAAAUAUAGUUGUGGUAUUUAUAAUGUAAAACUAUGUGUAAAUGGUAGAAGUAGUAGUGUGGUAUUUUAAUCAAUGAAGUGAAGAGUUCCUGUGUUACUACUGCAACGCAUGCAAGCCAACAGUGUUCAAAUAAACAUAGAAAUGACAAUUGCAUCAAUAGCAGAAGCAUGGUGUUCAACAAUAUUGAAUUAAUUCGUAAACUUUGCCUCAUGAGAUGACCAUUGCAUGUAAAAAAUACAUUAAUUUCUUGCAAGAAAUUUUUGACUGAAAUGACCAAUGCAUGUUUUGAUCACGUGAAGCAUGCUAGCAAACAAAUGGCCGACAAGCUGCCUCUGAAUAACCAAUAGGAACGGCGCGUGCAAAUACUACCCCGCCACUCUGGGUUGCGUGGUACCCCCAGCUGGCGCAUGCUUUACAUACCCCGCCACUCCAGCUUGCGUGGUACCCCCCAGCUGGCGCGUGCUUUACCUACCCCGCUACUCUAGCUUGCGUGGUACCCUCUAGCCCGCUAGUCCAAACUGCGUUGUACCUUUUUUAAUUUUCCCGCUCGAAGGGCAGAUUAAAUUACAUGUUAGUAUAAAUAAAAGUGGUCUGCAUGAUAUCAUUGUAUCAAACCAUUCUACUUCAUACUCUUACUCAUUUCUUAAGAUCAAACCAAUUCAAUGGCACCAAAUAUAAACGUUUUUGUGUACUAUAAUGGAGAAGUUAAACAAAAUGAAUCCGGUAUUUUUUUUCAAAGUCAGUAUACCAAAGGUUUUAAAGUCAGCAUGGCUAGUACUUACUUGCAUCUCAAAAGAAGAAUUGCGGAAAAAGUAUGUCUCGAAGAUAAUAUGGUUGUGUCUGAAAUUAUGUGUCGGAAUCCUAUGUUUGUUGGAACUACCACAAUUCAUUACCAGGCGUUAAGAAUAACUGAUAACGACGAUGUCGAGUUUAUGUUUAACGUACAUAAAAGUCACAGUUCUUUGUCCUAUAUAGAGCUUUAUGUUACGUUUGAGAUGAAGAAUCCAACAUCUAAUUUUGAGUUAAAUUACCCAUCGAGUUCUAGUCAACACCAAAGUCUACCACAACACUACAAUCCGUCAUCGUCGCAAGAACACUACAACCCAUCAUCGUCCCAACCGCACUAUAACCCGUCUCCCAUUUAUGAUGCAUCCUUAUCGCAACCUUUUCAGUCAAAGUGGUCACAAAAUGUGUACGAACCAUCACAAAUAAUAACUCAACCUCAUCCCUCUCAAACACCAUCUCGUUCAACACAACCCAAAACCUUAAACGAUGAAAUCAAUAUAUUCACCUCCCAAUUUCAAGACCAACCAAAUGAUGAAGUUCAAGAUGAUGAAGACGAUGAUGAUGAAGAACUCCUUGCCGCACAAAACGGUGACGAGAACGAAGAAGACGAAGACGACGAUCUGCCACUACUACCAAUUUUACCAAUCAGAGCUUCUUACAACCCACCAAGGUCCAUGCGCAACGUCAAUGAUGACCACUCAACUGAACUUUAUCAUUCAAUGGCUCUUCCGGUCGAUCAAGGUAUUGCCCUAGGGAUGCAAUUUCAUAACAAGAAUGAUUGCAUUCUCGCAAUUAAAUUUUAUCACAUGAAAAAAUCAACGGAUUAUAUUGUGAAAAAAUCAGAUCCUGAAAGGUAUGUCAUCAAAUGUAAAGAUACAAAAUGUGGUUUCAAAUUGCGGGCCUCGUGGAGGAAAAAAACUGAUAAAUGGGAGAUUGGGAAAAUGAAUGAUCAUACAUGUGUCUCAACAGAAAUGACGCAAGAUCAUCAUAAACUUAGUUACAAUGUGAUAUGUGAAAGUGUUAAAUCACUACUACAUAUGGAUACUUCAAUUACAGUGAAGGUUAUAAUUGCACACAUCCGAGAGAAGUUUAAUUACACAGUUUCAUACAGAAAGGCAUGGAGAGCACGGAAUAAGGCGAUUAAAUCAAUUUAUAGUAAUUGGGAGGAGUCUUAUGAAGAACUACCACAAUGGUUGAUGGUCAUGGAAAAAGAUUUGCCAGGAACAAUAAUUGAUUUUCAAACGGACCCAUCAACAGAAGUGGCAAAUGAGACCGUCUUCAAGCGUCUUUUUUGGGCCUUUCGUCCGUGCAUCUCAGGUUUCGAAUUCUGCAAACCAAUUGUCCAAAUUGACGCAACUUGGUUGUAUGGUAAAUACAAGGGAACAUUGUUGUUAGCUGUUGCGCAAGAUGGGAACAACAAGAUAUUUCCCAUAGCUUUUGCAAUCGUGGAAGGCGAGACCAAGGAGGCAUGGAGUUUCUUUUUGAAAAAUUUAAGGCAGCAUGUCACCCCACAAGAGAACAUAUGCCUCAUUUCUGAUAGACAUGUGUCGAUAAAGAGCGCGUAUGAUGAUCCACAGAAUGGAUGGCACGAUGCUCCGACAAGCCAUGUUUAUUGUGUCCGACACAUUGCACAAAACUUUAUGAGAUCAUUCAAGGAUGGAGAACUAAAGAAGAAAGUUGAAUGCAUGGGUAAAAAUCAUAUCUCUUUCCACGUAAAUUCGACAUUUUAUUUGUUUAAAAUGACACAUCUAACUUUUUUCAAAACAAUGCAGGUUACGCCAUGAACAUCCCUACAUUCGAAUACUACCGUUCUGAAAUUGCUGUUGCAGACCGAAAGGCUUUAGCAUGGGUCGACAAUAUUCCCAAACAAAAGUGGACUCAAUCACAUGAUGAUGGUCGACGAUGGGGCCAUAUGACAAGUAACUUGGUAGAGUCACAAAACAACGUGUAUAAGGGUAUUCGAGGACUUCCGAUCACAGCUAUCGUGAAAGCAUCAUAUUACAGGUUGGCGGCCUUGUUUGCUAAAAGAGGACAUGAGGCAGCGGCAAGGGUAAAUUCUGGUGAGCCAUUCUCAGAAAACAGCAUGAAAUAUCUCAGGAAUGAGGUGAUUAAAUCCAACAGUCAUCAUGUCACACAGUUUGACCGGGAUCGGUAUACCUUUUCCGUCCGUGAAACCAUCGACCAUAAAGAAGGAUUGCCAAAGGGAGAAUACAAGGUGGACCUGCAAAAUAAAUGGUGUGACUGUGGACGAUUCAGAGCGUUACACCUACCAUGCUCACAUGUCAUUGCCGCAUGUUCUAGCUUUUCUCACGACUACAAGACUUUUGUCGAUAACAAAUUCACGAAUGAGUGUGUAUACGCCGUAUACAACAUCCACUUCGACGUGGUUCACCACCAGACAUAUUGGCCUAAUUAUGAAGGACUGAAGGUGGUUCCCAACAAGUCCAUGUGUAGGGUAAAGAAAGGUCGUCCACCAAUUACUCGCAUUAGGACCGAGAUGGACGAUGUGGAAACUGAGAGAAGAUGCGGCGUUUGUAGGAUGCCUGGUCAUUCCCGCAAAGAUUGCAUUAAUAUUAGACACCAGUAAAAAUCUAGUCUUUAUUUCGUUUGUAGGAUGUAUGGUCAUUUCCACAAAUAAUUGUAGAUUUUAUGGUAUUUUAUUGGUUAUAUAAUUUUAAUUAGUUUUUUAUUAUUUGAGAGUAAUUAUUACACGUUGAAUUUUUAUUUUUUUUUGUCUUCAUUAUACCACUAUACUCCAAGUAUUUAAAUUUUUUUUUAAAAAAAGCAAAAGCUAAAACGCAAGUCCAACUUGCGGGGUAGUAAAAAAAGUGGAAAAAAAAAAGGAAAGUACCCCGCAAGUCCAAGUAACGGGGUACAAUAAGGACAAAAAAUUUGUGACUUUUUAGGGUACCCCACAACUCCAAGUGGAGUGGUACCAGGGGCUUAUGAAAAAGUAGGGCAUUUGCGCAAUUUUUCGAAAAAGUGGGGCAUUUUUUUAUUAUCUUUGCAUAAACAAAGGCAGAAAAAAAAAAUUCUACUUUCUCCCCACGUUUUCUCAAAAUUUGUUUCUAAAAUAAUAAUAAAAAAAGAAAUAGUUAUUUCAGAAAGAGAAACCGUGUGAUAUUUUUUAAUUAGUGUACACCUACACUUCUCAUGUGCCUAUAAAUAAGAUGCUUAGUUGAACAUAAACUCACACUACAAAACUCUCCUCUCUCUAAAAAAUCAGGUUAGUUCUCUCUCUCUCUCUCUCUCUCUCUCCUUUUCUGAACUUUCUCUAUUCAAUCUAUAGUCAUUCUUUAUUCUUUUGAAAGAGACAAGAUUUACUACUAAAAUAACCUCAGAUUUGGUCCCCACAACCCUUCUUUUGGGAAGAACAACAACAUAGUAUACCCUUCUUUUGGGAAGAACAACAACAUAGUAUUAGAAUGUUCUUUUAUCAGAUGAGAAAGUGACAGUAGUUUAGUUCUUUUCAACCUAAUCAAACCAUGAAAAUAGUUUAGCUCUUUUCAACCAUUCUUUUUCAACAGAAACAUCAUUCAAUAAAAUAAAAUAAAGAGAUCUCAGAUCUGUUUUAGACUUUUAGUAGAAAAAAUUACACGAUUUAAUUAUUGUAUUUUUUAUACUGAUACAAACUAUGAAGAUUGAAACAAAGUUCAUAAGAAAGUUGAGAUCUUGUUUAAUUCAUAUUUUUAGUUUAAAGAAAAAUAAAGAAAUGAACAUUGUUUUAAGAAUGACGUAAUGACUAUUAAAUGGCUUUUAAACAUUCUGACUAUAUAAAAAGGUAGUAACAUAAGUUUCAUUUGAAAUAAAAUAAAAUCAAGCUAUUAUUAAAAUAUAUCUAAUAUAAUCUGAAGAAAAAAAAAGGACGUGAUACAGAGAAACAAAGGAAUUAGAAAACUUUAACUCGUUAUCUCUAUUAUUAUGACCUUGAUAAUGACUAUAGUCUAAUAGAUAGUUUAUUUUGGGUGAGUAUUCUAGGUGAUAUUGGAGCUGCUUUCGACGGAAACAAUAUUGCAACCACUUGCGAAGAAUCCGAAGGUAAGGGGAAUUACUACUAAUAAAUUUUAAAGAUUUUGCAUAAGUUAUGUGCUUAAGUGAUUAUAUGUGAGUAAAUAACUCUACUUGUGAGAGUUAAUUUCUCGAUGAUGUGGUAAUUUCUAGCGAUCAAGUACAUGUCAAAGGACAUCGACUUAUAUGUGUUUUAGUUAAUAUAAUUAGGAGUUUUUGAAAAUAUAAUACAUAAGUAGAAGAAAAAGUUUUGUAAAUGAUGAAUUGAUUAGAUAGUUAUAUUAUGUUUAUUUGGUAUUACUCUUGUGUAAGUGAAUGAGCAUAUGAAUUUCAAUAAGUGUUAACUGAUUUCGAUGAGUGAAAUUAGUUGGAAAUAUAUGAUUUAAAGUGUCAAUUAUGAUUCGACGCGAUAAUUUAUAAUGUUAAUCAUGAUUAAAAACUUCUCUAUAAAAAGAAAUGAUCUAAGAGAGAUAGUUGUAUCCCACCUCAUUAAUUUUAUGGUAUCAACUCAUAGGUAUGUUGUAAAGGAAAGAAACUUAAGAAUGCCAAACUAUGAUCACUAACUUAGUACGUAGACAUAGUAUAUAUAGUUAUAUUGUACGUGUAGGAAAUUCUUUAAAACAAAUGUAUAUGUGCUUUUUAACUAGGCAACAUGAAUUAUUCUUUGUUAAAAUCUCAUGAAUAAAAAGAACAUGUACUAGUUUAAUUGAAUUACCUAAGUUCUUACUUACUGCUGAAAUUUCUAUGCUUAUAAAUAAAUGAAAAAGAACAUAUGCUGGUCAUUAAUUGUUCAGUUAUUAUGUACUGGCUUGAUUUACUUGCUGGAAUUUCUAUGCUUAUACAUAAAUGAAGAGGGACAUAUGCUGGUUAUUAUUUGUUGAGUUAUUAUAUACUGGUUUGAUUUACAUCACUGUACUAAUUGAAUAAAAUUCUGAUGUGGCUAAUCAAUUUUAUAAACAUAAAUGGUUAAUUGUUUGACAUUGUUGAGUUGAAUAUGAGUGUUUUGUCUUGUCUAGAAAGUAGGGACAAUUAAGGAGCUAUAACAGGUCCCUAUACACUCAGGUGUAGAUGAGAAUGAGGAUAGUUAUGGUUUGGUUACUUUGAGGAUCUAUCGAGGGCACUUGUGUUUCGAACGCCUAUCAAUAGUUGGGGAUUGCUUCCCGGCUGAAAGUACUCGUACUACCAGACACGGUGAGCCUGAAAAAACUAGACUAUCUAUGAUAAGGUAGUGCGAUCGGACUAGAAUGAUUAGAGUUUAAGCAUAUCUUGCUCAAAAUACUAAUAAUCAUGAUAUAGUUGCCGAAACGGCCUUAUGCUCAUUAGAGUGGAACCUCCAUGGAGUAGUGAAUUAUGAGAAGAAAAUAAACUAGAGUCAAGAAAAAAAAAGUCAAAAGAGUUCAUGCAUGUGUCAUGUUGAAUGUCAAACUAUUAAUUCAAAUUGGACCUCUUAAAAGAUAGUUUUUUUUUUUUUUUUUUUAUAAUAUGCUUUGUGAUUGUUGUUGGACAGUGAAUGAAAAGAAAAUAUUAUAUCUAUGUAAAUAUCAUUUUACCUUGCUGUAUAUAUAUUAUUUUCUUUUUCCUUAUGUAAUAAAUCACGUGGAAAACUUGUGUACGAGUAAUUCACCCUUCUUUGUUUGUUUUUGUAUCUUGUUGUUUUUUUUGGGUAUGUUCGGACGUUUUUAUAGAUGAUGCCAGAAAGACAUUUAGCUCACUCGGGAACCCGCAUGAUCGAGUUCCUUGAGGUAUUUUCUUUUGCAACACUUAUUAAAGAAGAAAGUAAUAAUAAAUCAAAACACUCACACAAAGACGCCUCAAGACUAUUGGAAUCACCCUAUCGUAUCAAAAGCUCAUGAAUAUCCAUAAGUAAAAACUUCUCCAAAAAGAACACCAUACCCUACUCAUAGGGUGCCAUCUUAUUAAAAUCAUACCCCAUCACUGCAAUCGGAGCAAUGAUCCAACAUAAAGGAAACUUUGGUUUUCCUUCCACCAUCACCAACGAAGUUGAGCCCUCAGGCUCUCCUUGCACCCUAACAAACGAAUCACACCAAUCCUUCUUAAAGUUAGAAGCAUAAGGAGGGAAAAGUUUUUUACUAGGAUAGGCACUAAUUGAAACCCACAUUCCCUUGUUUACAUCUUUCGUCCUAUAAAAAUGGAAGAAGACGCCAACAGAAGGCUCCAAACUCAUCCUUACAAAGUAGUUUGAAUCCACGAAUAAACGCCUAGCUAUUAGGACGUAUUUGCGAAGGCGCCACAUUCAGAAACUUUAGCACAUCCAUCUCAAAAUCCGUAAAGGGUCGUCACCCCAAACUCUUCCAACACCGUCAUAUACAUAAGAAAGGAAUCAUCCCUGACACCCUCCAAACGCUGAUCGCACACUCUCUCGCCUACAUCACAGGGCGACACUGUCACAUCUUUCUCGUUCUCAGUAGCAGAAGUAUCCAUCUUGUUUCAGAAUAAAUUGAUAUCCGAAGGCGACAUAUAUGAAAACACCGCUCGAAGAACUUCUUCAGCUAAAUGAUUCAUCUCCAACUCAUAAGAAUACGUCAAACACAUAAUCUCUUUUUGAGUAGACGGAAGAGGCAUAUAAUGACAAAUCUCUUGACAAGUUUUCCCCCUACGACAAAUCACUAUCACUACCAUUAGAGCUAUCGCUACUAGUGUUGCUAUCAUUGGACAAUUCCCCUAAAACCCUACGAUAAAAAAGCCCUAAUUCGUAAGCUUCCCAAUCAAUCAAGUCAUUAGGAUGUGUUGCAUGUCUUAAAGAAUCUCUCCUCAGUUGGUCUCUCUCAUCAAAAUUCGUAGGAGAGAAGGCGAAAAAUGAGAGAAGGAAAAUGGAAGAGUACUUGAGAAGAUUGAAAACGUGAGCUUAGAAAUCCAGACAAUCAGCUGGCAAGUGCGCGAAUACGGAGAACUAAAAGGCGAAAAAUGCGGAAGUGAAAUGAGGAAAGGAAGGAAAUGAAGGGUCAAAGAGUUUUAGAGGACAACAACAAUUAAAACCCCCUCAAAAAACACGCUCAUCCUUGGCACGAUUGGAGACACGUGUCAAGAUACACCCAGAUUCGAACACGUCACUAUCAUCGAAAGGUCACACAUUUUGGACCAUACAAUCAUGUUAAAAAUGAAAGAUCUCGUCGAUAUAGAAUUUCAAAAAACUCGUUGCCAACUCCUCAAACAGGAAACUUACUCGCCGUGCUGUUACAAAUCACUUCGCCUUGUCCCAAGACUCGUGGUUGGGGGCUGUGAACAAACAUCAGGCAUAAAACGCAUGACUCGACUAGCACACACCCUAGGGGGCUCUAGGAUAAAGCAUAAUCACCCAAGGGGGACUCUGUAAGCUCCAACAACAACAUCCAAAGACAUACACAAAAAAUACUGAUAAACGUAAAAUAAAUUCCAAAUGCUAAUUAAUCAUUUCGCCUUGUCCCAAGACUCGUGCUUAGGAGGCUUUGGACCGUCAAUAUCUUCUUAAGGACCUAGAAGUCCUCCCAAAGGGCAUUUAGACCCUCCUAGAUGCCUAACACCCUUCAAAAGGGCUCUAAGGCCCAACACGCGCCCUUCCUAGGGAGCCGCCUCUACCAGCUUCUAAAACCUCCAAAGCUCGGCCUAAAUACCUAAUACGAUUACAAACCCUAAUACCUCAUUACGUAUAGCUUAAGAACCAUAAAUCAGGCCAAUAGAGGGCUAUAAAUACAACCUUUGAGAGCCUUCUGAAGGCAUGACCAAUACAUUACAAACCCUAAUACGAUUAUUGUACUUUUGCAAGUACAAUGAGGAAGGCGAUAUUGACAGGGAAAGUUUCCACCUAAUUUGGGCUAAAAACAUGGACUUUUGGGGGUAAAAAAGUCACAAAAAGUGACUUUUUUCGCAAGGAGCAGGGCGCCUAGCGCAUAAUGGCAUGCACCUAGCUCAUGUUCCUGCUAGGCUGAGGCGCCUAGUGCCCCUUUCAUGCGCCAGACGCUUCAGUUGUUUAGCUUAGGGGCACCUAUUGUGCACCUGGGUGCAUAAGUGCCUUUUCAGUGCCUUUUCAGUGCUGUUUUUCUUGUUUUCUUUGCCUUUUGAGGUGUUUUCUUCAAUGUAAGAUGUCUUGGAACUUGAGAACAAAAUUCCUUCCUUUGUAAAGACUUCUGAGGCAUCUUGAAUCUUCAUUAUUCAUCUUCCCAAGGUCCACAUAAAUCUUCAAAUGUCUUGCAUUGUCUGAUUUGCUUGAUUUCUUCGUGAAUUACUUCAACAACACCCUAAAAUUGCUAUUUUUCAGGAAGAAUAGAAUUACAAACUCAAUAUAAAAUACAUUACAAAUGUACCGAAAUCAUAGGCAAUUGAUCAAAUACUCUUCUUCUUUGCUGGUAAAACCUACUGAAAUUGACUGAAAAAUGUAACAGCCCUAUUUUCGUUAGAUUUAUUUUAAUUGUUUUAAUAUGUGUUUAUUUAUGCUUAUGUGUGAUUAUUAUCAUUGGGUGCAUUUUUAUGGGUUUUCGUGUUGGAAGGAUAAUUUAGUAAUUUCAUGUAAGGAUUAUUUUUAGUGUUUCAAGUGAGAACCAUUAUUUACUAAGUUACUAGUGUGGUAAUUAGUUGUGAGCCGGUAAGUGAUCGUUGUUAUUAUUUUACCGUUAAGGGAGUAGAAACAUUUUAGAAUUAGUGAAUUAGUGGGUUAAGCCCACUAAGGCAUUAGGGUUAAACCCAAUUGAGAAGAGCCUAUAUAAGUUCUAGAUUUUAGAGAAAAAUAGGUUUCCACUUCAUUUCAUAAGAAUUUUGAGAGAGGUAGAGAUAGAAAGUUCAAGAGAAGAGGAAAAUGGUUAGAAGGGAGAAAAGCUUGAAGACUCAAGAGGUGAUAGAGAUUCUAGGACCUAAAUUGAAGCUUUUGCUAGGAUUUUUGCUAAUUGAGGUAAGGGGGUUAGAUUUCAAUCAUAAUAACUUAGUUGUAGCUUUUACCCUAAUUUCAUGUAUAAAUGCUUAUUUGUAUAAAGUGAUUAUUAUGAAAUUAAUUGAUGAAAUUCGUGGUUAUGCUUUGAUGUGAUGUUUGGGUAUGUGAAAUUGAUGUUAAUUAAGUUGUUGAUGAAGAAUUUACAUGCUCAAGUUAUGUAUAUAUGUAUACUUGUGUUUUUGCUCAAAAUUGAUGAAGUAUAAUGUUAUUGUUGGUGAAUUGUUGAUGAAUUCACUUCUGAUUGUUGUUGUUGUGAUUGUGAGUAGUUGUUGUUGAUGAUUGAAACCUUGGGUAAUCUUAACCAUAGAGCUUGAAGUGAGUUUCUAUUGUUCUUGAAGUUUUCAUGAAAAAUAGGUCAAAUGGUAAUUUUGUUGAAAUUAUGUUGGAUUCAAGUUUUUAUAUGGAUUUGAGUGUCUUUUCAUGUUUAGACAAACUUUGGGAUCAAAUUUGGGUAUUGGGUCAAAAUUGGGAUUUUGGGGUGAAAAAUGAGUUUUUUUUUGUAGUAGAACUCCAGAAGCCUGUCACAACUCGCCAUGGCGAGCGGGAGGCGAGCAGGAGGUGCUUCCUGUGUGUUAACUCCCCAUGGCGAGUGAUUCACUCACAGGGCGAGCUGCACAGUGACAUCAUUCCCUGUUUCGCAAUCUUGCGUCUUUUUCACAUAUUUUUGUUUUGAAUUGGUCUUUGGUAUAAAUAUGAAAGUUUUAGAUAAUUGUGUUAGCUUUCCAGUGGCGUUGGUUUGACUUGAAAAUGAUUUUUGGUUUUUGAGUUAUGAUGAAAAUACUCCAAGGAGGUCUUAGUGAAAUUUUAUGAAAAUUCCGCAUAACUAUUUCUAAGUCAACCCAAAACUUAUGGAUUGUUUCCAAACUUCAAAACUUGUGUACUAUGAGUUAAAUUAAUGUGUUUAAGAGUAUUUAAGCUACGUUGUGGUGAAUUUAACUUGGUUUUGUUUUGAAAGUGAAUUGGUUUUACAUUAUGAGUAAAGCGAUACGAACUUUGCAAAACUUUGAAUUUAAGUGAGUUGGCCUAUGGGACCUUGAUGUAUACACUAUUGCACUCAUAUGUGAUUGGUGUAUAUACUUAGUUGAGGUUUCCAAAUGUGUUUACCUUGUUUUGUCGGAUAACUUGAAAAUUGGUAAAAUGAUACGAACUUGUCGUAACCUGUGAUUUUGAUGAUUUUGUCGUAGUAGGCCGGUGAAACGCACAUGUAUAUUCAACUACACUCAUAUGUGAUCUAAGUGUAUACAUAGUCGAGGCCCUAGAGUUUAUUUACUUGGUGUUAGUUCAUUUGUCUCAAUUAUUUUAAAGUUGUAAAAUGAGAGUUGAACUUUGUCAAAAAUGGUUCUUUAAAGCCAAUUACCUUAUAAAUCUUUUGUAGAUAACUUUAUAUGACUAAAUGAAGAUAUGUGAAUGAAUUUUUAAUUGUUGAAUAUGAUAUUAUCAUAAGGUGUUGCAUUUUCUCUUUACUUGGAAUAUGAUAAGUAUUUGGAAUGGUGGAACUAUACUAUAUGGUUGAUGUUGAUUAAUAUUUAUAUAUCAAUUGAUGUUGAUGAUUACUGAUAAUUAUGAUGAAAAUGUGAUGAUGACUCUUAAUUGGAUUAUGACUUUAUUGUUGUGUGGACGUAAAUAUUUGAUAAUGCAAUUGUUGUUGAUGUUAUCCUUUAUAUUGUUGUUGAAUAUUUAUGAGGUGAUUUUGCAUUGUCAAGUCUUUCCUUGUAUGUCCAUGCAUCAUAGUCAUGUUGAGUCUUGAUGUUGUAAAGGAGGGUUACUCUUUUACUUUGGUGAUAAUGUAAGACGGGUGUGAAAUUUUACAUAUGAUGUUUUUGUUGCAUCAUGUGUGACGACCUUGAGGUGAUUUGGUACCACAUGCAUAUAUGUGUCGGGAUUAGGCACAUAUCAUAUUGGCGUGAGUCUUAAUUGAUGUAUUUGAAUGAUGAUUGAUGAUGAUAAGUGUGUUUGAUGAAUACAUACUUGUGAUAUUUAGAAUUGUUGCAUGAAUGUGUAUAUGGAAGUUAAUUGCUCAUGAUUAAUUAAUUGAUACUUGAUUUGAUUCAUUUAUGUCUAACUAUUUAUGUGGAUUAUGAUUGUUGUAAAGCUUACCCCUAGUGGUUUUGACCACCUACCUGUCUAUAUGGAUGGGUAGACGAAGUGCAAGAUUAGUCGCUUUGGUGAGUUGCUUGGUGAUUGCUUAGAUAGAGGGAGUUAUCUCCGUUAUCGUUUCCUUAGAGUCUUAGGAUAGGCUCUGAUCUAGGAUGUAUGUCUUAUGAUUAUUCUAGAUUGUUUAUUUUGGAUUUAUUUGUGUUGUGGAGAUUUACCCAAUUGUCGGAAUUUGAAGAAUUUUUAUGUUGAUGUAUUUUGACCUCAUGGCAUGUAUACUUUUGAAGUGUAUGGUUUAUAUCCGCUGCAACGGUAUAGAAUUUUUAUAUAUGCUUGUUAUUUGAACAUUGUUGAUGAUGUGGCGUCUAUUUCUUGGAUAUUUAUAUUAUUCGCGUGUUUUAUUGCUUUAAUAGAAAUAGGGCGCUACAAAAAACAUGCUAAAAAUAACGUAAGAUGUCCUGUCAUCAUACAACGAUUGAGAAAAAGAUAAAGAUUGUCUAAUACCCAAGACUUCUUACAUAACUAUUUCAUCAAAGCAGAAUAGUUCAAAAACUGGAAGGUGUGGGUUUUCAUGACCUAGGAAUACAGGUAGCUCAAGUGAUGACAACAUAAUUUAUGGGAAAUAUGAGAAUCAUCAAGUCUGUGGUAAUGUCAAAUGGAUUCUCAAUCAGAAAAGAAUGCAGAACCUUUAUCCCAGACUUUCCCUCGAUCAUCCAAGAACCAAAUACCAAAGAUCUAGCAGACCUAGUGUCACAAGCUUCUGAAGAUCUAAUCUGACAUGGACCAUGCUCCUAGGGCAUGGACCAUGCACCUAGGGUAGGGUGCGUUUCACAGUCACAUGCGCCUAGGGCAUGGAGUGUGCUCCCUGAGAACUAAAAAAGUGUGGGGCAAAAUUGAUUUUUUUUCGACUUUUGUGUUGUUAUUUUAUGUUGUGAUUUUCUCAGAUUGGAGUGGAGGUAGGAUGUGAGAGUUCAACAGAUCACCAUUUGUAUGACUGAACAGACUAUUCAGAAAAUCUGAAUCAGUGUUUUGAUAAAUGGUUUAGCUAGAGGGUAAUGAUAUAGGUGGCGAAGGAAUAAUGAUGGAUGGUACUGAAGAAAUGUUAACAUAUUAUGUAAGCUCAAGAUCAAUACCUUUUGUAUUAUGAGAUUCUUCUGCUUUGCCUGGUGAGGUUGGCUCAACGGUAGCUGUUGUGAGGUUGGCUCAACGGUAGCUGCUUCUGUGACUAGCAUGCUGACUUCUUCUGCUUGCUUCUGUUGCUUCUCUUGGUUCUCACACUCAUCUACAUCGAUGAAUAUUAGAUGACACAAAUCUUCCUUAGCAUGUACAUUCUUCUUCCUUUCUGGUGAGGGAAUGAGUGAGUGAAUAGUACCAGAGUUCCUUGUGAGCUUGGAAAAAUCCGUUUUGUAGACAGAUCACAAAGUCACAUACUCUUAAUUUGUCUCUGAGUCGGUUUUGGAUUGCCUCGUCUUUUUGGGUGCUUGAGAAACUUUCUCAUCACCUUUCCUCUUAACCUCGACUUUCUUUAACUUCUUUGUUGGAGGAGAUGUUGUGACUUUGGAUGAUUUCCUCUUAUUCUUCUUGUUGUCUGCAGUUUCUGAGUCACCAGGAGUUUAAUCCGGAAAGAACUAAUCCGCAACUAAUUACUAAUAUUUUUCAUUGAAAAAAAAUAAUUUUAAAUAAGACUGGUACCUUGGUCUGUUGUAAAUUUGUAAGAACUAAUUUGACAGACAAUGAUAUAACUCAAAGACUAAUUUAUUUGUAAGUGCAAUAAUUUUGUUACUAAUUUUUGACCGUAAAUAACACACAAGUUAGCAGAAGGACCAAGUUGUUCAAUAUAAUUCAAAAUGUGAUUGUUUUUGCCAUGGCAUCCCCCAGUUUUUCUAUAAUUACACAAGAUUCCCUUUGUCUCGAUGGUUAGGAAGUACAAUUUUCUUUUGGAUGUCUCGUGUCUGAGUCCUAAUUCCCCUCAUUUUUAUAUUUCUAUUAUAUUAUAUUUUAAAUUUUAUUAAAAAAAUGUUCUUGAGGGGGAAUCGAACACGCACCACUACACUGAAUUCUAGCAAAAAACUGACCCCUAGACCGGUUACUGAUCUGAAGAAUAUUAUGAAACAACUAAACAUAUAUUCCAUAAAUUUUGGCACCCCCAAGAUAAAAACUCAAGAUCCGCCAUUGCCUAACUCAAGGUCCUAAAUACGCCACUACCAUUAACUAUAAUUAAUAAGAGUGUUUUAGAAAAUGAAACAUAUUUUGAACAUAUUUCUUAUCAUUUCUUUAACAAUUAUGUAAAACUCAAAAGGAACCCUUAAUUUGAGACAGAGGAUAUAUAAUAAUCGAUGAAGUUUAAUAUCUGCAAAAAAGUGUUAUUAAGUGAAGUAAACUUAACAAGGGUGACACUUGUUUUCUUUUGGUAAGGUGUGGGAGCACUCUUGACUGAGUUUCUAUUUUUUUUUUUUAUAUUCUUUUGAAAGUUGUAGUGGUGUAAUUGGGUGGUUAGUUGAAGUAAUUUUCGUUUUGGUUCUUGCUUGAUCUAUUUUGCAUUGUGAAAUUUCAAUUCUUAGUUUGCUUUCUACAUUGACGGAGUUGCUAAGUUGCAAUCAAACUUUUGAGUGUGUAUUAAUUAUAACAGUAAGAGUGUUGCUAGCACUACUCUUAUAUAAAAUCAGAUGUAUUUUUAAAUUUAUUUAUUUAUUUUUUUUUUUUUAAUUUCUACGAAAGUGGUGCACUUUUCCAUGAAUAUGCUUUUAGUGCAACUCCUUACCAAUGUAGUCAAACAAUUUCUUAAAACUCAUUGUUAUUAGUCAUUUCGAAACAAUGUAUUCACCAAGACAAAGGAGUGGGUGGAAGGAUAAUGGGUGCAUGCACAAUCAAGAAAAAGUUAGGUGAACAUUACAAUCAAAAUAUAUAGCAUAGAGCAUCAAAAUUUAUCGUAUGAAACAAUGUUUUUCUAAAAUAUGAAUGUGAACAAAUAACCCUUCAACUCAUAAGAUGAUCUUUAAUAUAUAGAAUUAGAAAGUUAGAGUAUCAGUACACCGAAAUUUAUAUAUUCAAAAGUGAGGCGUAGUUGGUUUUCCUCUUUAUGUAGUAUAGUUCGGUUUUUCCAUUUUAUUAUGGUACUUAUUCCUAUCAAAUUGAUAAAUCAGCUUUAUCUUAUAAUUGAUUUAACUAAUGAUGACUUGAACAUCAAUAUUAUAUAUUCGGAUAUACGAGUACUUCAUCGUGCUCUUAAUUUAGAGAUGUUUUGAGUUUGUUUACAAAUUGAAUCUUUGAAUUUUAGACAUAGAACUUGUACUCUUUUAGAUAUAAUAUACCGAUUUGAAUGGAUAAAUACCGUAAUUCCAAACAUAUAUUUUUUUUUCACACACAUACCUCAUCCAUUACGAAACGCAGGAACUAAAGCUAUAUAAUAUAGUGAAGCUAAUUUAAUAAAAAAUAUAUAUAUUUGGUGAUGCUAAACUCAGUCUAACUUAAUGCCAGUUCAAAAGGAACACUGUGGUAUGGAGGAAUUCUUUGUUUUGCAUUUAUAAAUGGCAACUAUACCCUAUUAAUCAUCAUCAUAAAAAUAAUUUUUAUAAUGUAUGAGACCAAGUUUCACGUCUCUAUUAUUUUUCAUCAUUUUUUAGAAUUGUACGAUCUUGUACCAGAUCUUCGUUUAGUUAUGAUGAUAGCAACCACUCUCACUGAAAAAUUAUAUAAUAACAUUUUUUUGGCAUAUUUAAUUACUGAUCCUGUCGGUGUAUUAUUGUAAAAUUAGGCAAUUUGUCCAAUCAAUUCACACAUAAUUUCAAACCUGGCAACUAUAUAAAAACAAAAUCAUAGGUAAAUAAUGUAGAAAAUCACCAACAACCCUUGAAUUUUGUUACAAGAAAGGGCCAAGUCAUCACCUUAUCAAGAUUGUGAGUGGAUUCACAAAGAUCACGACUAGUAUAAAAGGAGGAAGUCACUCUUGUGUUUUCUGCACCAAACUCAUAAGUCACUAACAUGGCUUCCUCAAACUUCCUAGUGCUGCUUCUUUUUGCUCUAUUUGCCAUUCCUCAGGGUCUUGCCAAUUAUGAGAAGCCUCCGGUUUACCAACCACCGGUGUAUAAGCCACCAGUUGAGAAACCCCCGGUCUACAAACCCCCUGUAGAAAAGCCACCAGUAUAUAAGCCACCAGUAGAGAAGCCUCCAGUUUACAAACCACCGGUGUACAAGCCACCUGUGUACAAACCCCCAGUAGUGAAACCCCCAGUCUACAAACCUCCUGUUUACAAGCCACCGGUGUACAAGCCACCAGUUUACAAACCACCAGUAGAGAAGCCCCCAGUUUACAAGCCACCUGUAUACAAACCCCCAGUAGUGAAACCCCCAGUCUACAAACCUCCUGUUUACAAGCCACCAGUUGAGAAGCCUCCAGUUUACAAGCCACCAGUAGUGAAGCCACCUGUUUACAAGCCCCCAGUCUACAAGCCACCAGUAGUGAAGCCACCUGUAUACAAGCCUCCAGUCUACAAGCCACCCGUUUACAAGCCUCCAGUUGAGAAGCCUCCGGUCUACAAGCCACCUGUUUACAAGCCCCCAGUUGAGAAACCUCCAGUCUACAAGCCACCGGUUUACAAGCCUCCAGUCGAGAAGCCACCAGUUUACGGACCUCCUCACCACCCAUAGGACUCUCGGAUGCUUUUAAGUAAAUAAGUUAAAUAAGAGAUAUAUAAUGUUUCCAAAGCAAGGAUUAUAUAUUCUUGGAAUCUUCAUUUUAGUCUUUUGUUUACAAAUCCUAUUACCAAGAUAAGAAUGUGAAAGAAAAUGGUGCAUUUGUACUCCAAGUUAUGAAUAAGAACGUUGUGAUUUAGCACUUUUUAAUUUGUGUUGGUUGACUAAAUUGGACAUAGUAUAUAUAUACUCUACUUAAUACUCUGUCAUAUCAGUAAGGUGCAUGAAAGUUCAAUUUUCUGUAGUAGACAUAACGAAUAAUUAAUUUAUGUUUGAAUCUAGAAUUUACUAAACUUCACGUACUUGGAAUUUCAUUGCAUUAUAGCUUGACUCAGUAGUAGCUUUAGUGAAAAAUGAUUUUGGUGCUUAAAAUUUUAAGAGUUGGAGUUUGGACAAAUUAUACACUCAUAUAAUUUAGUUAUCUUUUCAAAUUUACAAUUACAAUUUUCAAGGUUCUAUAUUUGUGUUGAUGCACCAAUUAAGAGAAUGAUCAAGAAAAUUAGGUUUUUAAUUGGUUUUUAUCGAUGAUUUCUGAAGAUAUAUUUCGGCAGAUGAACUAAUCCUUCAAUUUAAGAGAUUAAAUUGCCAUUUUACAAAUUUCAAUGAUUAUAUUAUUACCUAAUCUUAAAUAUAAUUUUUAGGGCUAAAACGAUGAUUCACUCAAUAUAUAUUGUGAUUUCUUAUUUUUUUUAUGAUAUAAAGAUAGCUGAAGUUGUGUGAUAUACAAAGUUAUAUUUCCUUUGGAAGAUAAGAGUCCCCCACCAUAUUGACAUGAAAGUGAACGUGGGAAAAUAUGUGCAAUUAAGGUUCCAAAUAUUAAACAAUAGCCACAAUAAUUGUCUAUAACUCAUAACAAAUAUAAGAACUUGAUAAGAAAAAUAAUAAAUAUAAGAACAUGAGCAGGCCAUAGUUUUUUAGCCCGAGAAGCUUCAUCUUCUUUUUAAGUCUAACAUUUUUUAAUCUUCAUUCAAAGAAGAUUGGUGAUUUUGGGAUAUUUUUAUAAGAUAGGUAAAUAAUGAAAUUUGUGUUGUACUCGAAGAAAUCUACCACACGAUUUGAAUGAAUAUAUUACUUUUAGUCAAAAUAAAUUAAAAUAAAGAAUGUAACAUUUCAAACUCACUCACAUAUAAAGAAUGAAUUUACAAUCUUUAAAACACAAAUAUUUAAUCCUUAAAUCUAACACCUCUCUUAGUUUUAGCGAAAUGAACUUUGUGUUGUACUCGAAGAAAUCUACCACACAAUUUGAAUGAAUAUAUUACUUUUAGUCAAAAUAAAUUAAAAUAAAGAAUGUAAAAUUUCAAACUCACAUAAAAAGAAUGAAUUUACAAUCUUUAAAACACAAAUAUUUAAUCCUUAAAACUAACACCUCUCUUACAUUUAUUUUGUUUACGUACCUUUAUUUUGUUUUCAAAUACUUAUAUUUAGUUGAAUUCCUUCAUUAUACUCUUUUUAAUGAAUUUUCUGAACAAAAUAAAAUUGUGUUACUCAGUCACUCAAAUUAGAGUGGAUAGAGCAAUGAAAAUAUUUAUUACUAUGUAGUUUAUAGUUGGAGUGAUCGGAUAGUCUAGUGGGAUCUUAGCCACUCUCGUUUGACUCACUUGGAGCAUGUCAAAAAUAUUUUUUUGAAAAUGAACGAUGGAGAUUUACUUUGCACUAGGUCCAGUGAAAAAGAUAUGGGAGAUAAUCCCAAUCUUAGCUUAUUGGGUAGGCCAGUGUUGAGAAUGGAUUCUCUCAAAUGUAAUUAUCUCACUAGUCUAAUUACCAACACAAUCAAAGAGAAAAAAUAGUGGGAUGUAAGUAAAAAAUCCAUAUUCUACUUACUCAAUCAUCUAUACAAGCUACUUUAAUUAUCUAGUCGAACGUUACGAGCGUUACAAGAGAAAUCAGAAUAUCGAUGAUCAAAAUCCUUCAAAGCAAAAGAUGUUGUUGUGUGCAAGUGUGAGUUAUAUGCCCCACAUCGGAUAAAAGAGUAAAGGUUGAACACCUUAUAAGUAAGAGGACCAUAAACCCAAAGCCUUAAGGUUUUGGGUAAGAGUGUGGUGUCUCCCUUGCUUGUCUGGUUGUUCUAGCCUCGAUGUGGACGCUCCCCCAAGCUCCCCUCGCUGACCCAACAGUGGUAUCAGAACCCCGGUUCGAUGAAGGGUACGACUGAGGCCGCCUGUCAGUUGUGCAGAAAGCAGCAACGACGGUACAAGCAACAAGUGGCUUCUUGUGCAGCAACGGCUAUACAUGCAAAGUAAAAAGCUUCCACGCGGUACAAGCAACAAGUGGCUUCUUGUGCAGCAAUGGCUAUACAUGCAAAGUAAAAAGCUUCCACUCUAGGGGAGCGACUCACGCUUGAGGGGGAGUGCUGUUGUGUGCAAGUGUCUGUUAUAUGUCUCAAAUCGGAUAAAAGAGUAAAGGUUGAACAUCUUAUAAGUUAGAGGACCCAUAAACCCAUAGCCUUAAUACUGUCCUUUUUGCAUAUUUAGCCCCCCCGAAACCAAUUUUAACCAAUUCAACGAUGACGUGGAUGUCACGUGUGUAAUGCUUUAAUUAUUUUAGUUUUAGAUAGAUACAGAGAGAGAGGUGUCAUAUGUCAAAAAAAAAAAAAGAUAGAAAAGAUUUCCUUCCUUGAAUCGUUGAGGUAACUACAAACUAAGACAAUGAUGUUAUUGGUUACUUGUUUCUAAUACCUUUGAAAAAGAUAGUUAGACCAAUGUAUUGGUCAUUAACUCUUUUCAAUGGUUACUACCCUAGUGUCUAAGGUGAGUCAUAACAACGUCAAAGUAAGUACAAUUAUUAUUAAUUUAUGUCUACACCUAAUCAAUAAUUGAAGGUUAAGAUAGGUCAAGCCAACAAAGUUAAGGUUAAGAUAAUCAUUUUCACCUAAAUUGAUUUAUGAACAUAUGUUAAUGAUGACAGUCCGUCAUAUCACAUUUUUAGAGUCUUUUCAAUUAAGUUUUUAUUCUAAUUUUAUUAAUUUAGUACUUAAUUUAGAGUCAUUUUAAAUAAAUUGUCAUUUUCUUAUUAUUGAGUCAACUAGUGUAUUAUUACUAUUAUUAUUGGUCAAUUAGUGGCUAGUAAAGAGAAUGAAACAAAAACAUGGUUUUGUGAUGGAUGUGAUUGGCCAAGAAAAAUGAUAACAAGUUGAACGAAAGAAAAGAAGACCACACAAUGUUGCAUUAGGGUGCAGGAAUCAAAACCAAUAUAAUUGGGCUUUCUUUCAUGGACGUUGAACCAAGAAAAAGAAAAGAAAAGAUAACUUGCUGCAUAAUGUUAAUUUGGAAAGAAAAAUAGGUUUGACAAGCUAUAAAAGGAGACCACGCACAGGAACAAAGCAGACGAUUGGGAAAGAAAGAGCAGCACGCGGUACGAGACAAAAGGAGGAGGAGAAAAGCUCAUGGAAUUUGGAAUAUGCAACAGUACUGAUUAAAUAGAACAAAGCCGGUAGACCAUAAUUCGAUCGGUUUAUUUCUUUUAGUAUGUUGUUUAUUCCUUUAAUAUGUCUAGUUAAUUCCAUUUGAUUGAGUCACGAUGAACCUAUUGUAAUAUAUGAAUCAGUAGUUAAAACUCUUUUUAUUAUCAAUAUUAUUCAGUCUUUAUUCAGAAUUAUCUGUGUUCAUUGCCUUUCAUAUGAUUGUUUGCAUUGUUUGCAUUGUUUGCAUGACUAUUAACCCUAACUUCUUACAAUCACAUAAAUUGAUCUUAGGAAUUGAAUGACUACUAACCCUAACUUUUAAUCCUGAAAUAAUAAUUCUGUUUAAUUCAACAUAGGAACCUAGAGAUAGGAAAUUGAGGAUUAUGACAUAUAACGUUCUAACAUCGCUUCCGCGGUUAUUCAACCAGUUUAAAAGAUUAAAAGGUUAUAACUUAGGAAAUGGUUUUGAGUCAAGAGAUUGAUCAAAACUAAUUAGUUAAUUUGUCGUAAAGAUUGAAUAAGUGUUGAGAGCAAAGAGAGAUAAACUAUUUCACAUAAAACAAUAGAGGAUUUACCGGCUGAUCAUCUGUUUUAAUCCAAUUAUCAAACCAUUUUAUUUUAUGUUAUUUACUUUUUAUUGCACACAAACGUACUGCCUCAUACACUUAUAAAAUUUACACAUCCUAGAUAUUAACUUUAUUGCUAGUUUGAGAUUAACACAGUCCUCGUGGAUACGAACUUAUUUUAUUACUUCGAUAGUUUUAGUACACUUGCUAAAAUAUUUAUGAGUUAACCAAUAAAGAGUAUCAAGAACAACUUUAACCGAAUAAAAUAGAAAAGUAAUUAAAUGAAAUUUAUAGAAUUAUUCAAAGUUACAUAAUCAAACAAUUACGAGGAAGUUCUUAUUUCAUGACCUAACAUAUAUAGUAUUAGCUACUCAUAGAUUUUCUAAACAUAUAUAAAUAGAUAUGAAGAAGAAAGCAUGAGAAAAGGAUCAGCAAGUGAGGAUUAAUUGGCUCCCUAAUGGCCGUGGUCACUCCAAUCCUUCCAAAAUUGUGUUUCUGCCUUCGUCUUCUCGCUAAAAAGUAUUUUCCACUAACUUAGGUUUCAAUAUUUAUAGGUGUGCAUUUCCUUAAGUUUUUGGGAAAUUGGCACACGAUGCGAUCCUAUUCCUCAUGAUGCGAGGAUAACAUAACUAAUCUUGUUGGCCUCACGUUUAUUGUCCCGAUGCAAAGCUCAUGAAGAUUGAUACGAUUCAAGGAAAUGUGAUUUGAUUUAACCAAGCAAAAACCAAGAUCAUAGGAUAACAAUGAUACGAUUCAAAGAAGUGUUAACUUGAUUCACAGUAAUACAAUUCAAAGAAUCAUGAAUCGUUUAAAAAUUUAUGGAAAAUUAGCAGAAACUUUUCAUGAUAAGAUUCAAAAAAGUUUGAAUUGAAUCAAUUGGUUAGAAAAACAUUUUGACCAAGAAAAAUGAAGUUUUCUUUAUACAAACAAAACACAAGACAACAAGGGAUCAUAUGAUUUAUGAGGCAAGAUUUCUAGGUAUGCUUUAACAUGAUAUUAGUCAAUAACAACUAAUAUCUAAACAUCAUCAAAUAAAAACUACCUAAUGAACAUCAUAAAAACACAAACCUAUAACUACACAACUUCAUCCAACUUAUUGGGUGUACCGCAUUAACUAGAUAAUGGUCAUAUCUAUACUAUAUAUAAAGAAAAUAACAUGUUUUUCAAGGUGAGAAAAACACGAGAGGGGGGGGGGGGGGGGGUUGAAUUGUGGUUUCUUUCUCUUCUCCUAAAACCGAAUUCACUAUUCAGAACUUGAUAGAGUUCAGCUUCUGAAGUAGUGUUCAGAGUCUAGUUGCAGCGGAUAAGAAAAGAGAGAGAGAGAGAGAGGCAAGACACAAAGCAACUAUACAGAUUCCUUCCACAAACCGGAACUAGUCAUGUCCCCCUUGCACCUCCAAGAAGAGUUCACUAAAAUCAAUAUUCGAUUACAAUUGCUCAGGGCUCAAAAUAGCAAGAGACUUCAAACUACUCAAGAACAACUACAAGAGAUUUCCUAUGCUCAAGAACAAAAUCAAGAGACUUCCUAUGCUCAAGCACAACUGCAAGAGACUUCAUACAAAUCAGAUAAGACUCUUAAGAUUCUAGAAUUUCUAAAAUAUGAAAGUUGAUAAGAAAUUCUAAGUGAACUUUGAUGUGAAACAUUUUUAGCAGAGUUUUGGCACUUGUAAAAUUGUUGUAAGUCUCUUAGAAAUCUUCAAGUCUUCACUCCUUUAUAUAGAGGUGUGAAAGAGACGUUGUUGAUUUCCAACACAUUAAAAGAGUCGUUAUUGAAGCUUGAUCAAAUUUCAAUUCCAUUCCAAGUAUAGAGGAAUACCAGCGUAGUCACAAUUGUUGUUCUUGUACUAUUGCAGACAGAAAACAGAGUAGUGGAGAAGGUGGUUGUACAAUUGUACUAUUGUCCUUUUCCAAUGUUCUUCAAGGGAUAAGCAUCCAAUGACUUCAAAUUCCUCUUAAUUAGUUGUUGCUCUAGACUUCUAUUCCUUCUGCAAUGAUAGGCAUGAUAAUAACAACUCUUGACAAAUAUUGAAGCUUCCAGUCUUUCAGCUUAUGAUCUUAAACUUCUAACGACGUCAGCUUCUGGUAGUCUCCAGCUUAUGAUAAAAGUGCUUCUGAUGAUGUCAUCUUCAGAACCUCUUUGUCUUCAAAACCUCUUUUCCUUCAGAUGGUUCCUUGCAACUCAAGCUUCCUUUUUUUAAAUUCCAUUGCUCUCAUUUGUUCUUCUAGAACCCAUGCUUCAUUUAAAGACACUCAAAUUUUUGUAUAUGGUCCUGCACACUUGAACAAAUAUUAUCAUAUCCAAUUGAAUUUUUUUAAUACCUUGUUAUCAUCAAAACUUAAAGGGUAAUGUUAAACACAUUUUGUUCCAACAUUUUUGACUCUUUUAGAAUGACUUUUUCUCUUUCCAAAAUUACCAUCAACUUUCAAUACAAAUAACACAUACAACAAGAAUUGUGUUAUUUGAACAUCCAUAUAUGCGACAACUUUUGUGACAACCAAAAUUUUACAAAGAAAAUGAAGUAGUGGCACAAAAACCAAAGCAAUAGAGAGAGAAAGUAAAAAGAUAAUGUGAGUAUGAGAGAGAAAGUUGUCACAAAAGUUGUAAAAAAUAGUUGUUCAAAUAUCAUUUCUCCAUACAACAAAUAGAUGAGAGUAAAUUCAAACAUUAAAAUAAAAUUGUAAUACACACGAUAUGAGUAUAUAUGUCCAGUUUUUUCCUUUAUCAUUUAAAAAAUGUAACAAACAAGAUGAGAAUAUCAGAGAGAUGAGAGAUAGUGACGUGAGACAAGAAAGACCUCUCCGUGGCCCGCCUUUGCUUGAACGGUGGUAACCGCACCAGAAUUUAUCUCCAUUUGAGAGAUACACUAGGGGGUAGGUAUGCAGCCUGGGUGGUAGAAAAUGGGGGGGGGGGGGGGGGGGGUAUGGGUGAUUGGUCUGUAGUUAGGUCACGAAAGAGGAAAGCGACGCAAUCGGAAGAUCGAGGAAGGGACAAGUCAAGGGUUUCAGAGCGACGCGGAGGCACGGUAAGGGUUAGAGGGAUCGCACAUAAUGAUUACGGGUUUGAUGGCAGAGAGGCGCGACAAUCAGCAAGGGCUCUUCAUGAUCAGCAAGGUUUGGGUCGUUAUCAGUUUGGAAACAACGAUUUGGCUUUCGACAGAUGCGGGUCUGAUGCUAUCAUGGGAAAAGGCUUCUUCGACGACAAACAUAACAAUGGUAGUAAAAUUACUUUCUAUUUUGCAAACAUUCCUGAUUAUAUGCCGUUGUUUCGUCUCCGUCAAUACUUUGAAGUGUGUGGUAUUUUGUCUGAUGUCUAUGUUGCCAGACAACUAAAUUCACGUGGUCAGGUCUAUGGCUUCGUUAGAUUUUUGAAUGUGAGGAACAAGGACAAAUUAGCACAAGAUUUGAAUAAUGUAUGGAUUGGUGACUUUAAGGUCUGGGCGCGUGAAGCAAAAUUUGAUAGGUUUGCACAAUAUGAUGAUGAUCAUAGGGUGUCUAUGCAUGGUGAUAGAAGGGAUGAGAAUGGAGGGGAGAGGAGGCCGGUGGUGAGAACUAAUGGUGAUGGAGUAAAAAAUAUGAGGAUGUGUAAUUUUAAAAAAAUAGGAGGGAUAAUAAAAAUAGUUGUUGGUCUCAUUUUAAAAAAAAAUAAAAAAAUUGUUUAUAUAUUUUUGUUAUAUUAUCGGUGUCAAUGAAAUGGAUAAUCAUGGUUAAUUUGAUUUGUUAUAAUUUGAAAGCAACACACAUUUAUAUCUUUAAUUUUAAUCAAAAUCAAAAUGUUAUAAAAAAUACUAUUGCUAAUUUUCAAAUGUUAACACAAUAAAAAGAGCAGAAAGACGGAGUGCCCGUCUUUUCACUAGUUAUAAUAAAAGAAAUUUUAUUUGAUGUAUUGAUAAUGAUACUGAAACUUUUUACACAUACAUCCAAACAUUAUUCAUGACAUCACUUUUAUACAAGUUCUAAAAUAUCGCUGUAACAAAAAGGUUAAAAAACAACUCAUGAAAUAUGUACAUGAUUUAAUUGAAUAUAUGUGUAAAAGAAAUUAUAUAUCAACAUCUAUAAAUUAAAUUUAUUAUUGAAAUGAAAUACUAGUAAAAAUGAUGGCCAGCAUUUAUGAAAAUAAAGGUCUAACUGAUCAUGGGCCAAUUUAAAUCAAAAGUAGAUUUGUGCCCUCUAAAGGGUACUAGAAUAUAAAAGAUGGACGGCAAACAAGGGACACAAAGAAUAGAGAUGCUCAAUUUAAAACACAACUUCGAUUUUUUUUUUAUUUACUAAAAAAUAACUUAGAUUGUUUAGAGAAGAUAGGAAUUCAAUUAGUCUGACAACAUAUUUUGGAAGUACAAUUAGUUUCACAAUUAACUAUUUUGAUAAUCCUCCUUAUUAAAAAAAAAUUAAUAUUCCAUUUCGUCAAAUAAAACAAAAAGUUAGGGAGUGAUGAGAGAUCUUAGUCAAUAUUGUUUUGCACCAUAAUAUUUUUGAGAGAUUGAUUUGGCAUUUACAUGCUUCCAACAAAUACAAUGUAACAAGUGCUUAUAAUUAUAUGAUAUCGUCUCUUAAUAUUGUGACAGCUGAUCACUUAAACACAAUUUGGAACAACGAGGUCCCUCUGAAAGUUAGUCAUUUUACAUGGAGUUUGCUCUGUAGCCGAUUACCAACAACAAAUAAUUUUAUCAGAAGGCACAUUCUUAAUCAUAAUGUUCAACUUUGUGUAGGCUUUUGUGGUAUAAUGUAAGAUAUAGACGAUCUAUUUCUCUCUUGUGAUUUUUUUGAAAUUUUUUAGAUUGGUAUCUAUAAUUGGCUCGGCUUUACUAUGGUACAUCCAGAACAUCCGAAUAACUUUUCAACUCAUAUGGUUAACUUGUGUUUGGGUGAUUUGAUGGGAAAGAAAUGCUUGAAGUUUUCGCAAUCAAGAAGAAUCGUUACAACAUCUUCUUGACAAAAUUAAGCUUCAAUCCUAUUAGUGGUUGAAAGCGAAUAGAAUUUUCGCUCAAUUUUAAUAAAGUGGAUACUAUAUGAGAUUUUCGCUCAAUUUUUUAUGAGUAUGGACUGCACUUGGCGUUAGUCAUUGAACUCAUUUUACGAGACUCAAGUUCCAACUUAAGCCAAAAACUGAAACCAAACAAAUGAAGUAAAAAACUCAAGUUCCAAACUAAUGCGUGAUUUUAGUCAAAACAAUGUUUAUUUUUUGACAGUAGUUAGUUUUGGAUUACAGCUAUAUCCCUACACCCCACAAACUAUACCCCUCUCACCAAUAGACAAAACAAAAGAGUAGGUGGAAGGGUACAUAAUUAAGAAAAAGUUAUGUGAAAAACAAUAUUUUCUAUAGCCAAAACCAAAAGAUAUAUAUUGCAUUAUUGCAUAUAUACCAAUAAAAGAAGUACUGUGAAAUACAAGAUAAUGGCAUUAGAUUAGAAAUGGCCAAUUUGAUCUGUCUAUUUUUAAUCAUAUUAUUUAGAUUUGUUCAAUCUUUUACCAAAUCUUAUUUAGUUAUGCAAAAAGCAACACCUCUCGUUGAAAGAUAAUAAUAACGAUUUUUGGCAUAUGUUACUAAUAUUGAUUGAAAAAUGUUACCAAAUGAUGCAACUUCCCAACUCCAAUCCACUCAUAAUUUCAAACUUCGCUACCAUAUGAAAACAAAAUCACAGGUAGAAAUGUGUUGGAAAUCCUCAACAACUAUUGACUUUUGGUACAAAAGAGUGCCAAGUCAUUACUAAUUCAAGAUUGAGACAUGCAGCUGUGAGUGGAUUCACUAAGAUCACGACUAGUAUAAAAGGAGCUGGUCACACUUGUAUUUUAUGCACCAAAUUAUAAGUCACUAACAUGGCUUCCUCAAACUUUCUAAUGAUGCUCCUCUUUGCUCUCUUUGUCAUCCCUAAGGGGUUUGCCAACUACGAGAAACCUCCAGAGUAUCAUCCACCAGUUGAAAAUCCCCCAUUUUAUAAACCACCGGUAGAGAAACCACCUGUGUAUAAACCACCAAUAGAGCAACCUCCAAUUUAUAAGCCACCUGUAGAAAAUCCUCCAAUUUAUAAACCACCAGUAGAGAAACCACCCGUGUAUAAACCACCGUUUGAGAAACCUCCAAUCUACCAUCCACCAGUAGAGAUACCACCAGUGUACAACCCACCAGUUGAACAUCCUCCAAUUUACAAGCCUCCUGUAUACAAACCACCAGUAGAGCAACCUCCCGUCUAUAAGCCACCAGUAGAGAAGCCUCCAAUUUACAAGCCACCAGUAGAGAAACCUCCUGUUUACCAACCUCCUGUUUACAAGCCCCCAGUUGAGAAACCUCCAGUGUACAAGCCACCUGUAGAAAAGCCACCAGUGUACAAGCCACCUGUAGAAAAGCCACCAGUGUACAAGCCACCUGUAGAAAAGCCUCCUAUAUACAAACCACCAGUAGAGAAACCACCAGUGUACAAACCACCCGUUGAGAAACCCCCGGUUUAUAAGCCACCAGUAGAGAAACCACCUGUGUACAAGCCACCAGUUGAGAAGCCCCCAAUUUACAAGCCACCAGUAGAGAAACCACCUGUAUACAAGCCACCAGUUGAGAAGCCUCCAGCUUACAAGCCACCAGUUGAGAAGCCACCUGUAGAGAAACCACCAGUGUACAAGCCACCGGUUGAGAAGCCCCCAAUUUACAAACCACCAGUUGAGAAGCCUCCAGUGUACAAGCCACCGGUUGAGAAACCACCUGUCUACAAGCCACCUGUAGAAAAUCCACCUGUUUACAAGCCACCAUUUGAGAAACCUCCAAUUUAUAAACCGCCAAUAGAGUAUCCACCCGUGUACAAGCCCCCUUUUGAGAAACCCCCCAUCUACAAGCCACCUGUAGAGAAACCUCCUUUUUACAAGCCUCCGUUUGAGAAUCCACCAUUUUAUAUACCUCCAGUUGAGGAGCCUCCUGUUUACAAGCCUCCAUUCGAGAAGCCACCAAUUUACACUCCUCCAUUCUAGAGCCCACCUUACCACCCAAAGUUCCCUCGGGCAGGCGAUGGUACUCGUUAAUAGAACAUGCUAUGAAGAAAAUAUGUUAAAUAAGAGAUAUAUAGAGUUUUUUAUUUAAUCAAGGAAUAUAUAUAUUCAUGUAAUCUUCAUUUCAAUACUUUGUUUACAAUACUCUUGCUAUGAUAAGAAUAUGAGUGAAAAACAGAGAAAGAAAAUAGUGUGCUUUUCUAUUCGAAAUUAUGAAUAAGAUUUCUAUGAUUUAGAUGUUGUGUUGGUUGACUAAAUCGUGAUACAUCGACAGAGGCAGAGCCCCUCAUGCGCCAAGGUGGGUCAUGGCCCACCCCCAAAUUUUGUUUCUUAUUAUAUAUAUAUUAUGUUUUGUAAAUUUUUGAUGUUUUUGUAGCAUGUUGUAGUGGUUAAGAGCCUUUUUGCCAAGUCGUAUGUGCUAGGUUCAACUCUUGCCAAAACCAUUUUUAUUUAUUCUUUUAUUUUCUUUUGUAUAAAAAAAAAACAUAAUUCAUAAUUGUUAAAAUAAUCCUUUUUUUUGUUACUUAAUCCUUUCUUUCUUUAAUAAAACAUAACUCCUUUAUUCGAUUUAAAAUAAUCUUUCCUUUCCUUACUCUUAUUUUUGGAUACAAUUGUCUCUUUACUCUUUUAUUUUAAUUUUUUUUUUAUACAAAGGGGACUUCAACUCUUUUUUGUCAAAAAACAUUCUCUUUUAAAACAUAUAACAUAUUUUUUAUACUUAGUCGUUUGAUUCAAUUCGAUUUUAUACCUAUACAUCUGUUUAUUGAAGUCGAGUCAUUUAAUUCAGUCGUUAGGUUCAAUGGCCUAGUUGUUCGAUCAAUUAUCUUGAACUUUAUCAAGGUUGAUAAACAGUUCAUAUUUUAAAAUACCGGUUUAAAUUAUAUUCAACAAAUAACAAAUUUAUAGUCAUUGGAACCAACCAAUAAUAAAAUGUACUUGUAAGAAAAUAAAGCCUCAUCACUAUUUAUGGCCCACCCUAUACUUUUUUCCUAGCUCCGCCACUUUACAUCUUCGUAUUCUUUAGGAAGUUUCAACCUUGUUGACUAUGACAACAGUGACGACUAUAACGAGACUCGCUAUUGACUAUGACAACAGUGACGACUAUAACGAGACUCCCUACUUUUUGGUUUGCUUCAACAGGUUCUCAACAUAAAUAACUAACCAAGUUAAUUUGCCUGUGAAAUGUGAUAUUAGUAAGGUGCAUGAAGGUUAAGUUCUUUAGCAAAGCUUAGUAUCUUGAAUUAAAGAAUAUCGUUAAUUAAACUAAAUAUUCAUAUUAGGUAUCACAAUUUUCAAGACUUUAUAUGUACGUGUUGAUCCAUUAAUUAAGAGAAAUUAGACUUUAGACCCGUGCGUCGCACGGGUCAUUUCGACUAAUAUAUAAUAAUAAGUAAUGGUAAAAAAAAUUCUAAAAUAAAUAAAAGAUGAAGAGUAUUAUACAUUUUACUUACUCAAGUUCAAAAAAUAAAGUAGGAGAUGACAUGAAAUCGUUUAGUUGAAACAAACGAAUAUUAAAAAAUAAAAAUUAGACAACGACAGGGAUCUAAAAUUCUAUUUCUAAUCCUUCACAUAUCAAAAUUACAAUUGGUUCUCUUCAUUGUAAUCAUCUAAACUUAAUUAAAAAAUUUACAAGUGCAAAUAGAAUCGACAUUAUACAAGUCACUACUUGAUUCCAAAAACCUAUGUUUCAUGAAAACCACUCAUACCUAAAUAACAAUAAUAAACCUUCAAAACAAAAAUCAACUAUUCUCAAAGGACCCAAAAGAAAGAUUUUUAGCCUUCUAAAUCACAAUUUCUCUUGUUGUAUUGUUUUUGUGUCAAAAGCACCAUAAGUUGAAUAGUAGGCUCAGACACAUGACUUUCCUCAUAAGACAAAAUCACCAGUUUUUUAUAGGUUGAAAAAAUAAAUCAAAUAUCCUUAACUUUCAAUAACGCUUAGAAACAACUGAAACUUUUGCAUUAUCUCAAUCCACAAACAAAAUUGAAGACCUUUAUAUUUGCUUUAGGCACCUUAAGGAAUUCUAUGUAAAUUGUUUUCCUGCAAUGAAAUGCUAAACACAAUGAGCAAAGAAGAAGAAUUAACAACAAUAUUUGGAUUGUUUUAUUUAGCUUACAAUUCUUUAAACUAAUCAANAACACAAUGAGCAAAGAAGAAGAAUUAACAACAAUAUUUGGAUUGUUUUAUUUAGCUUACAAUUCUUUAAACUAAUCAACAAAAAAUUAAAUUUGCAUUAUAUCCUCCACAAUAUCAAGAAUUUUUCAAAGGGAUCAUUCUAUUUGUAUGGCUAUGAUGAGAACUCAUGUGUGUCCAUGAAGACCAGCUCUACGGAUAACCAUGUUCAUAUUAACUAUUUUAGGAGUGAAAAUAGGAUUGGAUUGGAUUUAGUAGUGAGCUGUUGUUUUUGAUUUCAGAAGCAUUUGAAAAUAACAUUUUGAUUAAAUGGAAAUAAUAGGAAGAAUUUGUUAAUAAAAGUGAUUUUUUUUUUUUUUUUUAUGUUGAUCUUUUUAUUGUUGUGUUAGAAACAAAAUAGGACGAAAUUGUAUUUUUUUUUUUAUGUUUAUCUUUUUAUUGUUGUGUUGGAAACAAAAUAGGAGGAAAUUGUUAUAGGAAUAGGAGGAACGAUUUUUAAAGUUUAUCUCUUAAUUAAACAGGUUUAAUUGAACACGGGGGUAAUAACGUAAAAGUCAUCAUAAAAUCUAGGUUAAAAUUAGGUUAAAAAUUGGCUUACGGGUUAACUUUUAUAUAUAAAGAAGUCAAGAGAAUCUAGAUCUGUGAAGCCCCGAUACUUCAAAAUGGAUGAUGUAUCGUAUCCGCUGCGUAUUCUGUAUCGAUACCUGCCCGAUACUUCUCAAAUUUAUGAGUUUUAUUUGAUUCUUCGAAUUCGAAUUUUGAGAAUUUUAGGGUUUGAAGGUUGGUGAUGGAGGUGAAUCUGAGUUUAUAUUAAGAAUUGAUGAAGAAUUUAAGGAGAGUGCAGUGAUGGAUAGGUAACUGAGUAUGAAUUGGUAUGCAGUUUGGAAAAACAAAACAAGAGGCAGUAGCAGCACCCCCACCCUUCCUCUACUUCUUCGACAAUAUGAGUGUUAGAUUCAUUUUCCUAGGUGUGAUUUUGAGGCAGAUGAAUAUGUGUGAGAGAUUGUAGAGGAAGAUCUCAGAUAUAGCUUUUAGGGAUGAACAUGAAUGAAUGAAUUUGUAGAUGAAGAUGAAUGUUGUUUGAACAUUUAAUUAAGAAAUUUUUAAUUGUUUUUUGUUUUAAUAUUUGAAAUUAUUAAAUUGUAUUUUGAAAUUCAAAAAACCUGUUUUAAUGACAUGUAAAUGACAUUUUCCAAAUUGGCAAUGCCACAUAGGCAAAAUUUUACCACCUGUGCAUUUUUGGAUGUGAAAAUAGGGGGUAAGACUAAAACUGCAACAAAAAUGAUAAUUGAAAAACAAUUUUAAUCUGUUUUAAAAGGGCAGGACCAAUUUCCUGAGUAGGCCACAACACGAGGACCAAAAGUGUAAUUAAGCCUUAUAUUUAUGUUGAUGUGCUACAAGCUUAUGACUGGUUUCUUUUGUUUGAUAAUAUAUUUGCAUAUUAAAUAAAAUGGUUAUAAUUAUAUUCUACAUUUAAUUAUAUAAUUUUUUUAUUGACGUAUCCCAACCAUAUCGUAUCUUGAUUUUUGAAAUUUUUUCGUAUUGACGUAUCGGUGCAGUAUCGUAUCUCGUAUUCGGGCUUCAUAGAUCUAGACUAUUAAUUUUUUUGAUAAACAAGAUUAUUAUUAUUUUUUGACAAAAACAAAGUGAGAUUCAUUCAUUCAAAUUGAUAGAGUACAUCAGAUACAAACAUUGCUAAAAACGUAAAGGAUAAAUCUAUGAACAAACUCACAACACUAAAGUUCAUACAACAGCAAAAUGUCUACAAAUAAUAUGAUAAAAUCUAAGUCACCAAAAUAUUCAUGCUUCCGGGUAUGCAACGUUGGCGCCCAAAUCAUUGAUUGAAUUUGUAAUUGACUAAUGUCGAUCUUUCAACAUGAACUAAACGAACACCGCGUCAAGACGCGAAAUCAAACAUCACAUAAGACCACUAACAACACAAUGCCACAAUUAGAUGACGAAAUCACAAAAACUCAAAAGGGAAAACUUGAUAUAUGUGAAAACCAUUUGUUUAGAUCGAAAGAAAAGAGAAAAAACGAUGUAGAGGGGUGAUUUUAGGUCAAAAAUGACCUAAAACCAGUUCUUUUUAAUAAACGAAGGAGAAAGAAUGUUUAGAGAGAAGUUGGAGUUUUUUUUUACUUAAAAAAUUAGGAUAAGCAAAAUUAUUAUAGAGGGAUAAAGGGCUCCCCAACCCAUAUACAAAAUGAUGGUUGCAAUGCCAUGUAGAAAAUAAAAAGAUAACAUUGCCUUUCUUUUUACAAUUAAACUAGUUACAAACCCGUGCGUUGCACGGGUUUAAUAACGUAUUUUAUAAAAAAAAAAUCUUUUAAAAGAAAAAUGAGCAAAUUAAUGAAUAUUGCACAAACAUUAUAAAUCUUUAUCAAAAUAUUUAUGAAAGCUUUAUCAAGUCUUUAAUACACAUUAAUAUUUGUGAUGAUUGAUAAAAGAAUUAAAAAGAGUAAAGGGUAUAGAAAUAAAUUUAUUAAAGAAUUAACAAUUUGUUUAAACUUAUUUUUGUUACAAUUUAGACCAAAAAAAAUAUUGGACUUCAUUGAGUUUCUCUAUAAUUUUUUUAUCAGGCUUGAAGUUAUGACUCUGAGUUUGAAAACCGCAAAAUUCACAAAAAUUAUUGAAGAAACACUAUAAACAAAUAAACGGCAUCGUCAAAAAUGAAAUCAUAUUUGGCUAUAGUGAUCAAGCAAACAAAAAAAAAGAAGCAUAUUAAAUACCUAUAAUCAAUGGAUUCUAAUUGCAUAGAGGCGACACUUAUACUUUCUCUAUGUUUGUUCAUCAAUGAGAGUGAUUAUUUUGCGCUUUCCUUUCAGAAUUGUUCUUGACACCUAGUUUGGGAAAUGCUAAACAGGGAAAUAACUGUAAUAUUAAUCUAAUGCAUAUUAACAUGGAUAAGAUGUAUGCGAAUAUAGUUAUAUAUAACUUAUGAAAUGAAGGUAACAUAACUGAUUUUAAGCUAAAGAAAAUGUACCAUGACUUCUAAUUUAUCUUUCUAUUAUCUUCCUAUAAAGUCUAGAGAAAUGCAUGCAUGUGCAUUAUAUGUACCCCGUUGACCAAUUAACAUUUUUGAAACAAAUGAAAAUUAAGCAUCACUCCCGCAUGUGCAUCUAUAGCUAACACCAUUUGACAUUGAUGUCUUCGAACAUUUGGUGCAACUCUCAUAAUACCAUCCAAACUGGUUAGGAUUGAAUUUAGUUGUUUUUCCAAAUAGUGAUGGAGUAUGUAUCCUAACACAAAUUAUGCACGUGAAAUAAAGAAUAGUGCAAUAUGCAUUUUUAAUUUGUGCGUAAAAAAAUUCAAAGCAUGUUUGUGAAAAAAAAAAAAAAAAACAGACCUUGACUAAGUUUAUAGAUUCAUCAAUUGGCCUAACUUGAGACAGAUUGGAAAAAUCGUUCUACGAAGUACUUUUUAAACUUUACUUUUUAAUCUAUCUGAGCUUGAGAAGUGUUAAGUUCACGACAACAAUUCAAGAAACAUGGUCAAUAAACAAUCAAAUCAGAUUGUGAAAUAAUAAGUUACUCUAACACUGUAUUGUGAAAUCAUAAUGCAAACUUACUAAGUCUUAAACUUUUCAACAACCGGAUGAUGUAGGUUGAUGAGCAGCCUCGAACCUGACCAAUUGUUACAUCUAUUUGCGUUGUCAUUGACUACAAAAUAGAAGCAAAGAAUUCAAGGUAAAUAAAUGGUAAAUGAUAAAGCUACAAAGUAUUUUACCCAUAAUGUUACAUCAACUAUAUUCCCAAUGCUCUAAAUCUCUAUAUCGAGUUAUUACAUGAACUCGAUCACCCUAAAUCCGAGAAAGAAACCAAAAAAUAUAAAUAAAUCAAAAUGUAUACUAAUAAGUAACAUUGAUAAAUCAUAAAAGAAAUUACUACAAAUCUUAACUAACUUAUCUAACCUUUGCAUCACAAAUAAUGAGCUUCAUAUGUUGAUUCUCAUUACUACCAGUCACAAUUCAAGAAUCCAGUACUCCAAAUCCUAUUUUCCAAACGUCUAAAUCAUUUUUGAGAUACUUAAUGUAGUCAUAAUCCCUUGACAUUGAAAUUCAUAUAUAGAAAUACAAUAAUACAUCAUUUAAUUUUAUUCCCUUUGUUCAUUCUGAUAUCGAAAGAAGCUAACAUAUUUCUAUGUGAUCAAUUUUUGUAUCAUCAAAUUAACCUGAUCUUAAAUGUACAAAUUUCUAUCAUCAACUUUCUGGACCCCAAUGAUAUGAUCAAAACAAAUUUACACCAAUCAACUUUUUGCACGGCUCAAUGAUAUACGAAAGAAUAAAUAAAAUAUGAAAACUGUUACAGCUUUAGGAUUACUCACAAAAACUAAAAUAAUUGAAAUGCAUCAAUUAUUUUCAACUCCUGUACCAGAAGCUAAAAUAACAAUUGUGUCAAAACCUUACCAUCAGUUAAAAUUCAGUCAUCAUGACCUCUACUAUACUCCACAUAACAAAAGACGAUUUUUCUACAGCCAUGCAACAUAACAAAUUUUGGUACAUAAUCCAAUAACAAUUGGAAAAAAAAAAAAAAAACCCUUAAAAUGCAUAAUCAUGAAAAAAGGAAGAAAACCAUCUAUGAUGAAGCAAAAACUAAAACGGUGUCGAAAAAUGAAGCCCUUAAGCCAUAAAAAUCAGUCAACUCAAGUCAUGCAUGGUCUCAGAACCAUGAAAAAAGAUAGAAAAUGACCUUUUUUUUUUUUGUGGUGGCCGGGGUUUGAACUCCGGACCUUGCAUAUUUUAUGCAUUGUCCUACCAACUAAGCUAAGCUCACGAGGACGAAGAAAAUGACCUCUUAUGAAGAAGAAAGUGAAACAGUGUUCCCGACUGAACUUAGAUACCGUUUGGUCAAGGUUUUUUACAUUAUAAAAGUUACUUCAAAACAAAGUAAAAAUAAAGGCCUUUAUGAAAGAAACUAAAGUUAUUUGGUUUUUUUGUUUUGUUAGUUUUAAAGCUAUUUAAGUUUAAUGUUGUUUGGCAAAAUAUUGUACAAACUUUGAAUUUAUUAUUUUUUAUAUGGUGUCUGGGGUUCGAACUCCGGACUUGGCAUGUAUUUAUGCAUUGUUCCUAUCAACUGAGCUAAACUCAUGAGGACAAAACUUUGAAUUUAUUAUUAAUUAACAUAAUAAAUAAAUAAAAUGUUUAGAAUAAUUUAUGAAGGCUAAAAAUGUUAAAAAAAUAAAAGAUAUUUUUUUUACAAAUACGAUAUUUACUCAAUAACGUUUAUUUUGUGUAACAUGAAUACAAAUUAAUAUCAUCAUAUAAAUAACUUGUUAAAUAUUUGAAUAGGAGAAACAAUUUAAGGAGUCUGGAAUAAUAAUAUAAAUAAUAUCAAAAUAUUUGAUUUUUUCUAUUUCAAUUAUACUCUAUAACAAAUUUCGUUAUAAGAAUACCAUAUUUUUUGUGUCUUUCAAAAAGAUAAGAAUUUAUAUUAUAUGAUAUUAUAUUUGUUACAUUGUUGGUGUCAUGGAAACAGAUAUGUUUAAUUUUUUUGAACAUGAAAAUGAUAUGCAUAGUUUGUUACGAUAUAAAGGUGCAAUAUAUAUAUAUAUAUACACCUUUUUAGGCAUCUAUACCUUUUUUUGAAGAAAAGACAUCUACAAUUUUACUUUUAAUUAAAAUUUAAAUUUUAUAAAAAUAAUCAUACGCAUUAUGCAACGCUAAAAAAAAUUAUACACAUUAGCGUAACAAAAAAACAGACACACAUAAAGAAUUACUCUAAACGCUAAUGUGUAUGUGCGUAUAUAUUUGCGAGGUUGAAGAAAGAAAAUACAAAUAUUUGAUAUCAUUAAAUGACAGCGUGAAUAAAAAUAUUUGUGAAGUUGUGAUGAUUAAACGAUAUUGAAAUUAUAAGUGAUAAAAAGAUAAUAAAAUUCCUUUGAAAAAAAGGUAAUAAAAUUAAAUGGAACCUCCUUAAAAAAAAUUAAAUUGAACGCUUCAAAUUAAAUGGAAGAAAAAAAUAUAUUGAAGUAUAAUAUUAAAAAAUAAAAAAAAAGGUUCCCAACGUGAAUUGAAGAGAGAUGCUUGUGAAAUAAAUUGUCGAGAAGUAGUUUUUUGAAGAAGCAUUCAACAACUUUUGGUCAAAGUUCAUUGCAUUCAAUUUUAUGCAUUAAAAAAGGUACAUUUUUUAGAAAGUACUUAAUUGAUAUUGUAUUUGACCUAACUUCUCCUUAAAAAUAUAGGGAAGUUGAAAAAAAAAACCGGGUCAAACGGUAUCUUAAUUUCCCACAACGGCAGUGUAGAAACAACUGAAUUUGGGAGAAAAAAAUUGGAAAAUAGUUAAAAAUAAAAAAAAUUGAAAAAUAGUUAAAAAAAAUCGGUGAGGUAGCACCUAACCAAACAACACUAAAAAAAAUUAUAUGCAUCAGCGUAACAAAAAAACAGACAGACGGACAUAAAAUAUUACUCUAAACGUUAAUGUGUGUGUAUAUAUUCGCGAGGUUGAAGAAAGGAAAUAAAAAUAUUUGGUAUCAUUAAAUGACAGCGUGAAUAAAAAUAUUUGUGAGGUUGUGAUGAUUAAACAAUAUUGAAAUUAAAAUAAUUAAUAUUGUGUUUGACCCAACUUCUCCUUAAAAAUUUAGAGAAGUUGGAAAAAAGUCGGGUCAAGCGAUACCUUAAUCUCCCACAACGGUAAUGUAGAAGCCACUGAAUUUGGGAGAAAAAAUUGGAAAAUAGUUAAAACUAAAAAAUAAAAAAAUCGGUGAGGUAGCACCCAACCAAGCAACACCAAAAAAAAAUUAUAUGCAUUAUCGUAACAAAAAAAUAGACAAACAGACAUAUAAUAUUACUCGAAACAUUAAUGUGUGUGUAUAUUCGCGAGGUUGAAGAAAGGAAAUAAAAAUAUUUGAUAUCAUUAAAUGACAACGUGAAUAAAUAUAUCUGUGAGGUUGUGAUGAUUAAAUAAUAUUUAAAUUAAAAUAAUUGAUAUUGUGUUUGACCUAACUUCUCCUUAAAAAUGUAGAGAAUUUGGAAAAAAGCCGGGUCAAACGAUACCUUAGUCUCCCACAACGGCAAUGUAGAAGCAACUGAAUUUGGGAGAAAAAAUUGAAAAAUAGUUAAAAACAUAAAAAUUGGAAAAUAGUUAAAAGUUAUUAAAAAUUAGAAAAUAAUUUAAAAAAUUGGUGAGGGGCAAAAUGGGAAAUUUGGCAUAAAAAAGAUGAGGUGGCACCAAACCAAACCCACCAAUUAGAAAAUUACUUAAAUGCCCAUUCCAGGGACAAAAUGGGAAUUUCAUAUGGCAUCAAUUUUAAUAGAGUAUAUAGACCACUCACAUUACACAAAUGUUGAAAUAUAUGAUGCAUAUUACUUUUUAAAUUUUUGGUUUAUAGUUGCAUUUUUUUUAGGGUUAAUAGUGUUUUUCACCCUUGUAAUAUAUGUCAUUUUCGGUUUUCGACCCUAUAAAAUUUUUAGUUUUAUUUUAACCCUCGUAAAAUUUUUAUUUUCCGGAAAAGACCCUUAAUAGGCCAUUCAAAAACCAAAAUUUCUUGAAAAAAAUUCUGAAAAUGGCCUAUUAGGGGUCUUUUCCGGAAAAUAAAAAUUAUACGAGGGACCACCUGUUGAGAAACCACCUGUACACAAGCCACCAGUUGAGAAGCUACCUGUUUACAAGCCACCUGUAGAGAAACCUCCGGUGUACAAGCCACCUGUUGAGAAGCCCCCAGUUUACAAAC